rnacentral:lncRNA from 1 species
ACCUAUCACAUGCCUAGGUUCCUCGAAAAGUGAUCUCGAUAAUAGCUCUUGGAUAUAUUGGUAACCCACGUCUUCCAAUUCCACACUCUCGGUGAGUGACCGAACAAAUCCUUCAGCAAUCCAAAGUUGGAUCAGGUCCUUAAUUAUUAUAAUAGUAUCCUUUGGAAAUAUGGAGCAAUAUGCAAAGCAUUGCUUCAAGUGCGAUGGCAAAUGAUUAUAACUCAACCUUAGAGCUGGUAAAAUCCCAUUCUCUUCUAACUUCCAACUAUCAUUAUCCCGAACAGCCAGCCACUCUUUUUCCCUUCUCUUAGAGCGCAUCAAGCUACCUAAAACCUUCGCUGCCAACGGGACACCGCCACAUUUUUUCACAAUCUCCUUUCCAAUGGUAACCAAGUUUGCGGUCUUCUCACAAGCACCUAUCCCAAAUGCUCUUCUCUCAAACAACAACCAACAAUCAUCCUCAGAUAAAGUCUUCAAAAAGUGUGGCUCCACCGUGGCCAUUACUGAGGCUACUCUACUACUACGGGUGGUCACUAUUAUUUUACUUUCGGUCGCACCAAUAGUUAGCAAAGUCCUAAAUUUGUCCCACUUCUCAUAAUUUUCAUUCCAUACAUCAUCCAGCACGAGCAAAAAUCUCUUUUUCUCAAGCUCCUGUUUUAGUUUAGACUGCAUCGACGCCAUGCUUGUGAGAUCGCAAGCAUUUUCUGUUGUAUGCUCGAUUAUUGAUCUGACAAGCCUUUUAUGGUCAAAAUCAUCAGAAACACACACCCAUAUUCUUUUCUCAAAGUGAUCGCUUAUUUGUCGAUCAUUAUAGACUAAUUGCGCGAGUGUCGUCUUACCGAGCCCUCCCAUCCCAACAAUUGCUAUAAUCCCGAGAUCACCUCCAGACCUGUCCAGGAGAAAUUCGAUGAUCUUUUUCUUAUCUUCUUCCCGACCAUAAACUUCCGAUUCGAUUACGAAGGAACUAGUUUCUUCUCUUGCAAUAUUCUCUUGCCUACAGCAUGUUACUACAGAUCUCUCUUGCAAAUGAAACUUAGAUCUCUCCUCUGCGAGCUCAUCUAGUCUCUCCCUAAUCUCUCUAAUCUCCCUACCAAUCUUAAACUGAGAAAUAAAUGAGUCAGGCAAAGAUAACAGGUUACUCACCGUUCCCAUCAUCCAGCUAGCAGUACUGCUUUCCGGAUCAGCUAAACUCCUCUUCCGGUUCUUGGCCAAGCCCUCGUCUAGCAGAUCGUCGAUAUCAUAGGCCACGUCUUUGAGGCGUCGCAGCCACCCUUUGAGAGCUUUCUCCUGCACUUGCCGCGCCUCCGCAUCCUCGAGCACGUCGCGGAUGGCGGAGAGGGUGCCCGCCAGCUUCUUCAGCUCGGUGCCGACGUCCAUCAGCUGACCAAACUCGCUUGUGAUUCGGUCCCUCAGUCUGUCCAGCAAUGAGUUCAGGACGCCGGAAGCCACUACGUCUGCCAUUUUCUUUUUGAUGUAAUCAAUCGAUCGAUCGAUCAAGAAUUGAAUGAAAUUAAGAUGAAUAAGGCUAAACGAAAGGAGAGGAGACCAGUUUUACGCUGUGCAAAAGACUUGACUUGAGGAUCCUUCCAUGUCGGCGGGUGAUUGGCCUGAGAGUAGAAAAAAAAGUCAUACAAGAAGAAAAAUGGAGGGCGAAACAUCAGCAUUCUCGCAAGAAAAAUAAAAGGGAGGCCAAAUUAAGGUCAUUCUCAGGUUGACCAAAUCAACCUGCCUACUCUUUCUGCAAUAUUUUGAUUAGGACUUUCUCUAAGACCGUCAUAUUUUUUUAUGAGUACGAGGGCCAUCGUACUCAUAAUAGUAUAGUAGCCGGACCCUAUAUAUAUAUAUAUAUAUAUAUAUAUAUAUAGGUAUAUAGAGUCCGGCUACUAUACUAUUAUGAGUAUGAUCGCCCUUGUAUUUGUAAGUUAUUUUCGAUGAUAAAGCUUCCGAAUCGACGAUCCACACCGUUAAACAUUAUUUACAGUAUUUAAAACUUCUAAAAAUCAAAUUUUAUAAUUUUUCGACAUCAUUUACCUUACGAUCAAGAGGUCACAAAUUUGACAAUUUUAAUUAACGGCCGGUAUCAGAUACUUGCUAGUUUAACGGUGUAAAAAAAUUAGAAUUUGUUGAAUUUUUGAUAGAAAAUUUUAUUCACUACAUAGAUAAAGAUCAAUAACUCUGAUCUUUAAUUGAAGGAUCCGAUCAUCCUUUUUUAGGACGUCAUUCGAUUUUGAUCAUUCAUUUUAUGCCCACUUGAUGGACUUUAUUAUGAUUUCGAAAAUUUACGAAAUUUAUUUUUUAGAAGUUUCAAAUACUCUAGAUCAUAUUUAAUGAAGUGGAUCGUCGAUUCGGAAGCUCUAUCAUUGAAAACAACUUAUGAGUAUGAGGGCUCCAAUACUCAUAAUAGUAUAGUAGCCACGGCCUAUAUAUAUAUAUAUAUAUAGAGAGAGAGAGAGAGAGAGAGAGAGAGAGAGAGAGAGAGAGAGAGAGAGAGCAGGACUGCUGUGCUCUUAGGAGCACGGAGGCCUCCGUGCUCCUGAGCCGUUUUCGAUGAUGAAAUUUUCGAAUUGACGAUCGGUUCCGAAAGACUUGAUCUAGCGCAUUUGAAGUUUCUCGAAAAUAAUUUUUGCGAUUUUUUGAUUUCAUUUAUCUAGUGAUCAAAAGGAUUCAAAAUUCAUAAUUUUUAAUGGUUGAUAUCUGUCAUUUUCAAAUUUAACGGUGUAGAAGUAUUCAAAUCAGAUGAAAUUUUGAUACAAAAUUUUUUAUACUAUUUACAACAAGAUCAAUAUUUCUGAUCCAAAAUUUUGGUGCUAUAUCACCACUUUUUAUAGGAUUUUUAUUUUCAGCCGUUAAAAAUUAUUGAUUUUGAAUCAUUUCGAUUGCUAGGUAAAUGAUAUUGAAAAAUCGCAAAAAUUAUUUUCUAGAAACUUCAAAUAUGCUAGAUCAAGUUUAACGGAGCCGAUCGUCGAUUCGCAGACUCCAUCAUCGAAAACGGCUCAGGAGCACGGAGGCCUCCGUGCUCCUGAGAGCACAGCAGCCUAGCACUCUCUCUCUCUCUCUCUCUCUCUCUCUCUCUCUCUAUAUAUAUAUAUAUAUAUAUAUGAUAUGAACUAAGUUAUUUGAAUUAGCACAAAUUUCUGUGCUUUGACAUCUAGAAUCUUAAUUUUCACUUUAUUUCAAAAGAAAAAAUUGCAUAAGUUUUAAUUUCAUACAACAAAAGAAGUUCCACUUAUUGCUCUAGGUUUUCUAUCUUAAUUUUUUAUAUAAAUAGGCUAUUAAAUUAAAUAGCAAAAUAUAUGUUCUACAAAUUACAAUAAACUAUCUUAUUUUACAAACCACAUAGUAAUAAAAUAAUAUAUUUUACUAUGUAUUUUAAUAUUUUAAAAUAAAUGUUAUCAUUCUAAAAUACUUUUUUAAAGAAUUUUGAAGUUAAGGGCAAAAUGGGCAACCACAUUCAUGACAAUUUAAACACUGUAGCAUUCUGAAAGAGACGGAAAUCAGUAGUAAGGAUAUAUUUGAAAGAUAAUAAGUAUUUGUAGGCGUAUUUGUGAUAUAAUUAAAUUUAUAGGGACAUCUAUGAUAUUUUUGAAGUUUAGAAGGGCGUGAAUAAAAUUGACUCAAAAUAAUAUGUGUUAUUUGGAGAACAAGAGACAUUGUGAUAUAAGUUAGAAUAAUAGUAAAUUUAUAUUUGAAUGUAUUUAGAGAGUAAAACUAUACGUAGACCGCUCACUUUGAAGAGAUCUAUUAAUUUGAGACUUAAAAAAAUAAUAAUAAUUUAAAUAAAAAAUCUUUUAUAUUUUUAAUACUCUCAAAAUUGAUAGUUCACGAAUUUUUUUUUUCAACUUAUAUACUUUGUUGUACAACUUAUAACUAACUUAAUCUGCAAACUUAUUUUUACAAAGCUUUACAAUUGAAUUCAACAGUAAUUCUAAAUAGUUGGAUCCCUUCGAGACAAUUAUGGCAAAGUACAGUACUAAUUAAUUAAUUUUUUACGUAGAGUGUUCACGAUAUAUGAGAUAAAAAACAAAGGGUCUUUUUGUUAAAAGAAGUCUUUAUUUUUACUGUAAUGCCCUAUUUGGAUACAUAAUAAAAAAGUUUCAUGGAGUUUAGCUAUAUUCUGUAAUUUUGGCUUGAAAGAAAUAGAAAAUUUGGUAACUAUAAAAAAUUUCACAGAUUUAAUUUUAAACUGUUUGGACAUAUAUCAUAUCAUUCCACAAAAACUCCAACAAUUAAAACUUUAUGUAAAUUUAAAAUUUAACUAUUUAUGAUGGCUCGCUUCUAGUUUGGCACUUUUUUGUGUAGUGAAUUUGAUGGCUUUAUUUGCACAAUAAGAAAAUUGAAUUUGAUUUGAAUUUAGAAUAUACUGUUUUGAUUUGAAGUUAAAUAAUAUAAAAUAAUUGUUUUUCUUCAAAAACUUCAACUACCAUAUAUUAGUAUUUUUAAUAGAGAAAUGAUUCGGUACCUUUUAAAAAAAAAAAAAAAAGAUCUUAACCGUUGAUUAAUAGAGGGUAAAAAUGUAAUUUUAAUACUUAGCAUGUAAAAGGAUUAUUAUAUUCAAGGUUAGUUUGGUAAUUAAACAAUAUAACAUUUAAAGAAACUUUUAAUUGAGUUCCUAAAUUUACGCAUUAAUUUGCACUAAUUUAAGAAAUUAAUUGAUUAGCCAAAGUUAUGCAUUAAUUAGGCAAUUUAGGCAUCUACUUUAAAUGUUUUAGUGUUUCUAAAAUUAUGCAUUAAUUUAUAUUAUAGGAAUUUUAGAAAUAGUUUUAUUUCUAAAUACAAUGAAUUUAAAUUUUAAAUAUUAAAUAUUUAAAAUUUAAAAGUGUAAUUAAAAUUAGAGGAAUUUUAUAUUACUAUUUAAAAAAAAUUUAAUGUUGGUAAAUAUUUUAAUUCAACAUAUUUAAUAUGUUUAAGAAACUUUUAAACUCCUAUAAUUUAGACAUUAAUUUUGUAUCAUUUAUUUAAAAAAUUUUGAAUGUAGGUUAAAAUAUUUAUAAUUUAAAUGUAUUUAAUAAGUUAAAAAAAAUUUAGAAUUGUUCUACUUUAGAUAUUAAUUUUGUAUGACUAUUUAAAAACAUUUGUAAUGUUGGUAAAUAUUUAAAUUUAACAUAUUUAAUACGUUUAACAAAAUUAGGAAUUCAUCUUAAUCAUUAAUUUUGUUUACUAAUUUAAAAAAUUAAAUGUGGGCAAAUAUUUAAAUUCAACAUAUUUAAUAUAUUUAAAAAAAUUUAAGAAUUUUUCUAAUUUAGAUAGUAUUAUCACUAUUUAAAAAAUUUAAUGUAGAUAAUUGAUUAGAAAUAUAGGGUAAGGAUAUAAUUCAAAUUUAUUUGUAGUAUACUAGUAUCCCUACACUUAGUAUAUAUAUAUAAGUGUGUGUGUGAGGGUACGUGUGUGUGUGUGUGUGAGUGCACAUGUGUGAGUUUGUGUAAUGCCAUGUGGCAUCACCUCCCCCCCCCUCUUUUAUGCAUGCAGGGAAGAGAGAGAGAGGAGUUUAUCUCCUCUCUUCUCUCCUUUUCUCUUUCGUUCGGCCGUACCAAGGAAGCACGCGAGGGACGCCGCCGCGGAGCCGAUUUCGCCGUCGACGUCGCACCGCAGAGCCGUUCGAACCUACGGUUGCUGCCGUUGCAUCGUGAGGAGGCCGGGCGAGCGUGGAUCUUCGCCGUUCUUGACGUCGCGCCAGUGCUAGUCGCCGUCGAGGUGGGUGUUCCAUAGAAUUGCUUCCUAAUUUCCAAGCUUUUUCAAUUUCGAGCUAGUUGCUGUCCCUGCAGAUUUCCAGCGUCGACCGUUGGCGUUUCGGCUCGUACUCGACGUAGGAGCGUCGGAUUUCGACGAGGCUUGAUUCGCUGGAUUAAGGACUUCGAGAGGAAUCCACGAAGCCCUUACUUGCCAGAUUUCGUUGAGGUUAGAUUGGUCGAAUCCGUGCUGUACCUGACUGCUGCGAAUUUUGGGACUGAAACGGUGAUUUGUGCUUUGUAGAGCGUGGUGUUAGCUCGACUCCCGGAUUUGGAGGGUGUAGAUCGACCAGCAGGUGGUGCUGCAGCUGUGAGGGUGUUUUGCUGCCAGAAUUAGCGACUAAGGUGGGUUUACAUCGGUUUAUUCCUAAGUGUAGUAAUAGUCGACAUGUAUGAUUUUCUGUUCGGUAAAUCAUAUUGUAGUUCGUUUUUCAUAAUGAUAUCCUGGAUAAAUGCUGCAUAUAUAACCUGAUUAUUACCUUUUAAAUAUACAUGUUGGACUGGGUUUAAACUUAGGAGAAAACGCGAUUGGAAUCGACAUAUGUAUUAACUGCCUGAUUUAGCUCUAGGAGCCGUUAUAGAAUUGUACUGUCGCAGCAUACUGUAGACGAGUACUUCAGGUAGUUUAGAAUACAUUUACGCUCGUGCUGGUAUGCCGAGUGAAUUUUUCUGAGGUCGUUUAGACUGUUUCGUACUAGUGGGCGCCGUCGGGACUGACGGUGGGCCCGGUUCGCCGUUUUGGCGUCGGAUUGUGCCGAGGGCACGUUGUUUGUUGGUUGUUAGACCAGUUUGAGUCGAUUACUUGACUUUGGCUAGUUGGAGCCUGAUUGAGCUCGACAGAGAUACGCUGCAUACUCGGUUGGGUAGCUCCCACGAGUGCCACUCCGGAGGCGGGCGCGGUGCUUUUGCGUUGGUGUCGCUCAUGCCAGUUGGACUUGCUCUCCACGGACCAGCUAGUGUGGAUAGAGCCUGAUAGUCGCAACGGGGCAGGGACGGGUGUGUUCACAGUCCCAGGGACGGGUAUGUUUACAGUCCCAAUUGGAUUGGGUCAGAUUUGACAUUUCCUACAGUCGGUUAAUGUAGAGCAUGAUAGUGUAGUGGAUGAUAGCGAUAGAGUGUACUUCCUGCUUUUCCUUCUAUCCUUGCUCCCUUCUGUAGACUUAGUGGGUGACCGAUGUCGUUUUGGGCGGUACCCACUGAGGACUACUUGUUUUUACAGUAGUUCUCACGCCCAGUUGUUACCUAUGUUUUGCAGAGCCACAGGUUUCGGCUACUGCGCCUUCCGCGGAUCAGGAUCGAGGCAAGGGCGUCGCGAGGUAGAGCCCUACCCGACUGACAGAGCUAGAGGCACCCCCCUACUGCAGGUAGUUGCUAUUUUAGAGUUUAUGUACAUAGUUGUUUAACUCGCCGGUGCGAGUAGCUUUGUAUUUUGGAUUUGGACUAUAUAUAUGAAACUCAGUUGUUUAGCUUUGUAUAUUGAGCAGCUCUAUGCUACUGUUUGUAGUAUUGUAUAUUUACAGGUACUUUUGACGCUUCGUAUACAGGGGAAAUUCCUUGUAUACGGCGGAUUUGUCGGCGUGCCCGGGGAACGAGACAUCCGGGGCGUGACAUUAUUUUUAUAAUAGAAUUGUAUAGACAAAAUUAAUUCAAAUUUUGGUAGUAAAAAUUGAUUUUUAAAAAUAAUAAAAUCAUGUAUUGUAAUUUAAAAUAUAAGCCGAAAACAAAAUAAAUUUAAAGUUUAGAACCUAAAAAGUAUAGAGAAAUCUUCAAUAAAUCUAAAUAAUAUAGUACAAUUUAAACUUAUCAAUAAAUAAAUUUAUACUGUAUAAUUCAAAUUUUAAGUUAAUAAUGCCACACACCUUUUCCGUCAGAAUAUUGUUUUCUGAUCCAUUAGCCAUCGCAAAUUUCAAUAAGUUAUUACUAUCAAAACUAAACAAAAUUAAUAUCCUACAAUAUGAUAAAAUUUGAAAAUUCUCAGAUCGAACUAGAAAAAAAUUAACUAACAAAUUAAAUCACAAAAUAAUCUAAAUUUCAUUCUUAUUUUAUUAAAAAAAGAUUUAGAAAGCAAUAGAUAUGGAAAUAAAUUUUAAUACAUAGUUUCUUAAAAUUAAAUUGAUUUGCAAUAUUAAACAAAUAAACAAAGGGAAAAAAAAAUUAAAAGAUCAUAUUGUCAAAUCAUUUGAAAUUUUUCUUAUAUGAAAUGUCAAAUUAUGAAAGGAAAGAUAGAGAGAGAAAAAGGAAACAAAGAAAAAAUACAAAUUUUGAGGUAAAAUAUAGUAAAGGUAAAAUAACUAAAUUACUCAUAUAUUAAAAGUCAAAAAUGCCCUUUUUUGAGGUACCUGAUAACCGGUACCUCUCCCAAAGUGAUCUGCUAUUGCAGGUCACAAUUUAAAAAAAACUAAAUCUGAGUCGUUGAAUACGCAUGAAUGAACGGUAAUAAAAAAAAAAAAAAGUAUAGAAGCAUUACUCUUUUUAAUAUUAAUAUUCAACAAUCUCAAUUACCUAUUUGCAUUAAAAAAAAAUUCCAUUUAUCUCAUAAAGGCCAAAAAAAUAAAAUGGAAUGAUUAUUAAAUUUAAAUUGGAUAAAGAAAGUAGCAGAAUACAUAAGUGAAUUUGAUAGUUUUAUUUGCGAGAGUAAAAAAUUAUGAUGCAGGUGAAACUGCAAGAGCUUUUUUUUUUUUCCAAGUUGGGCCCACAAUCCGUAUAAUCGUAUAACACUAAAACAAAUUUACUAAAUUCAAAGUCAUAAAUACAAGCAGAAUUCAUUUGCCUUUGUCGUAGAAUUUAUUUUUCAAAUAAAUGAAGAAAAUAGCAUGCUACAUUUAUCUUAGAAAAAAUAUAUAUAAACUUGCAAAGAAUGGACGUUAGUGACGCGCAAACAUCAACACAUACAUUUUCUUUUAUAUAUAUAUAUAUAUAUAUAUAUAUAUAGAGUGAGGCUACUAUGCUAUCGAAAGCACGGAGCCUUCCGUGCUUGCAGCUCGUUUUCGAUGUUGCGACUUUCGAAUCGUCGAUCGGCUCUGUUAAACUUGAUCUAGAUUAUUUGAAGUACCUAGAAAAUAAAUUUUAUGAUUUUACGAUAUCAUUUGCCUAGUGAACGAAGGGGCUCAAAAUCAACGGCUGAAAAUAAAAAUCUUACAAAAUGUAAUAAUAUGACAUUAAAAUUUUAAAUCAAAGAUAUUGAUCUUGUUUUAUAUAGUAUAAANNNNNNNNNNNNNNNNNNNNNNNNNAACAUCGAAAAUAAAGUGGAAGCACGGAGCCCUCCGUGCUUCCAUAAGCAUCCUAGCCGCACUCUCUCUCUCACUCUCUCUCUCUCUCUCUCUCUCUCUCUCUCUCUCUCUAUAUAUAUAUAUAUAUAUAUAUAUAUAGGCUGGGGCUACUAUACUCUUAUGAGUAUAGACCCUCUUGUACUUAUAAAUUUUUAACCGUUGAUUGAUAGGAUAUGUGGUUAGGAUGAUGGUGGUCCCCACUUAGAAUAAUAGUAGUUCCCUAGGGUUGAGUAGGUAGUUGGUUGAAUAGUAUGAUUUAACAGGUGAAAAUGAUCAAUGGAAUAAAUCUAAUGGUCAAAAACUUAUGAGUAUAAAAGAGCCAAUACUCAUAAAAGUAUAGUAGCCGGACUCUCUCUCUCUCUCUCUCUCUCUCUCUCUCUCUAUAUAUAGGGUCCGGCUACUAUACUAUUAUGAGUACGAUCGCCCUCGUACUCAUAAGUUGUUUUUGAUGAUAGAGCUUCCGAAUCGACGAUCCACACUGUUAAACAUUAUUUACAGCAUUUAAAACUUCUAGAAAUCAAAUUUUAUAAUUUUUCGACAUUAUUUAUCUUAUGAUCAAGAGAUCACAAAUUCGACAAUUUUUAAUGGCCAGUAUGGAAUACUUGCUAGUUUAACGGUGUAAAAGAAUCGAAAUUUGUUGAAUUUUUGAUAGAAAGUUCUAUUCACUACAUAGAUAAAGAUCAAUAACUCCGAUUUUGAAUUGAAGGAUCCGAUCAUCCUUUUUUAGGACGUCGUUCGAUUUUGACCGUUCAUUUUGUGCCCACUUGAUGGAUUUUAUUAUGAUUUCAAAAAUUUACGAAAUUUAUUUUCUAGAAGUUUCAAAUACUCUAGAUCAUAUUUAACGGAGUGGAUCGUCGAUUCGGAAGCUCCAUCAUUGAAAACAACUUAUGAGUACGAGGGNNNNNNNNNNNNNNNNNNNNNNNNNNNNNNNNNNNNNNNNNNNNNNNNNNNNNNNNNNNNNNNNNNNNNNNNNNNNNNNNNNNNNNNNNNNNNNNNNNNNNNNNNNNNNNNNNNNNNNNNNNNNNNNNNNNNNNNNNNNNNNNNNNNNNNNNNNNNNNNNNNNNNNNNNNNNNNNNNNNNNNNNNNNNNNNNNNNNNNNNNNNNNNNNNNNNNNNNNNNNNNNNNNNNNNNNNNNNNNNNNNNNNNNNNNNNNNNNNNNNNNNNNNNNNNNNNNNNNNNNNNNNNNNNNNNNNNNNNNNNNNNNNNNNNNNNNNNNNNNNNNNNNNNNNNNNNNNNNNNNNNNNNNNNNNNNNNNNNNNNNNNNNNNNNNNNNNNNNNNNNNNNNNNNNNNNNNNNNNNNNNNNNNNNNNNNNNNNNNNNNNNNNNNNNNNNNNNNNNNNNNNNNNNNNNNNNNNNNNNNNNNNNNNNNNNNNNNNNNNNNNNNNNNNNNNNNNNNNNNNNNNNNNNNNNNNNNNNNNNNNNNNNNNNNNNNNNNNNNNNNNNNNNNNNNNNNNNNNNNNNNNNNNNNNNNNNNNNNNNNNNNNNNNNNNNNNNNNNNNNNNNNNNNNNNNNNNNNNNNNNNNNNNNNNNNNNNNNNNNNNNNNNNNNNNNNNNNNNNNNNNNNNNNNNNNNNNNNNNNNNNNNNNNNNNNNNNNNNNNNNNNNNNNNNNNNNNNNNNNNNNNNNNNNNNNNNNNNNNNNNNNNNNNNNNNNNUAUUCUAAUAUCCCACUUUAGCUCCUUAAGAGAAGAGGCUAACAAUAUGGGCCUUUGGAUCAAAAGAACCAUGAUCCAAAAGCUUACAAAUAGGGCCCCACAUACAUGAUAAGAAAAUAUAGAAAGAGGAGAUUUUGACUUCACCAAAUUACAUAGCCCAAAUAGCAAGACCUAAAUAAUAAAUAGGCCCAAUAUAAUUAGCUCAACAAUAUAUAUAUAUAUAAUGGGCAUCGUAUUGAUUGCCAAACCUCUUUUUAUCUGGAGACAAAUAUAAGUAGUGCAAUAUUCCAAAACAAAAGGCUAUGGCAGUUCUGCAGUACGUUUGAUGAAGUCUAGAUCAUCAUCGUGCAUAGGAUUCCACCAGUAGAAGUCCAGACAUUUUACCGAUGUUAAGCGCUCCGCGAGAAUUUGUGGAACAGAUGGUCGAGCAGGGUCAUAGGAAUUUGCCAGAUGCACAAUCUUGAGACUUGGAAAUGUGCCGCUUGGGAGAGAAGAUAGCAGCAGCUCACUGUUAGCGCACAAAUACAGCUGCUCAACGGACGGAAAAGAUGAAGGCAGUUCUUUCAGUUUUCGGCAGUCUAGUAGCCUCAACUCCCACAGACGAGGGAAAGAUCGUCGCCCAGCUGAUGCUUCACACCACUCCUCCAACUCAGGCAUGUGUUCUAGACUCAAGUUCUCCAAUACUGGGAACGCACCAUCACCUGCACCAUAGAACUCUGAGCCCAGGCUCUUGACUGCUAGGAGAGAAGCGAGAUUCAAAACUUUAAGAGCAGGCAACUGCCCGAGCAGCGGAAGAGACUUGACGGCGGGAAGCUUCUUGAGAGAAAGGGUCUCAAGGUUAUGCAAUUGACUUAUUCUUGGGAGGGUCUCACAUCUGAAACAAGAAGAUAAGUAAAUCUCAACAAGAUUUGGAAAACUCGACUCCAACCAUUUUGGAAAAAUUUUGCCCGGGUAGCAAAAUAUCGCCAAUAGGGUCAAAUUUUCGUGCGGUUGGAGGCCGUUGAGGACUUCUUCGGCUACUGCAAGUGCAUUGAUCAGACCUUGCCUGCUUCUUCCUUCUACGUUAGUGCGCGUGCUGUAGGCUUCCAUUUUCUUCUUGUAAGUAUCCAGGUCCCAUGCCAACCCUACUGAGUGAAGACCAUCCAUUUCUAUUAAGUUAGCCUCUCUAGCCUGUUGGAAAUUCUUCACAUUUUCUAGGUUAGCAAUCCAUAGGAAGCCUUCAAGAUUAAGUUUGUUGAGCUCCUUGAGUCCACACUCGCUCUUUUCGCAAAGCUCAAAGAGCAGUAGGUCUCGAAAGUAGCUUGGCUGUACAAGUCCAGCGGGUAUGCACGUUAAUUUAUGGCAAUGACCUGUGCAAAGACAUGUGAGGCUUUCCGUGUUCUGCUUGUUCUCUGGGAGCUCGCGCAGAAAGUAACAGCUUGUUAGAUUAAUUGAUCGAAGAUCUGAGAGGCAACAUACGCUUUCGGGCAACUUUUUUAUCCUGGUAUAUGCGAGGUUUAAGGUUUGCAAACUCUUUAAAUGACCAAUGGAAGUUGGUAGGGAAACAAAGCUUGUGCAGCGUUCAAGAUUCAGUAUUACUAGAUUGAAGAGAUUACCAAUGGAGUCUGGUACUUCCUUUAAAAAUCGACAUCCUUGCAGGUCCAAAACUUGUAGAUUCUGCAAAAAACCAAUAGAUUGUGGCAGUGUUUGAAGGUUUGUGUAUGACAAAUUGAGAUACCUUAGGUGUCUAAGAUUACUAAUUGAAUUUGGCAAUUCUUUGAUGGGGUAGUAUUUCAGAUAAAGUGCUCUUAGAAGCUUCAUACUAGAGAAAACAGUUUGAAGAAUCUUCAGCAUCAUAUCUUCCUUUCCUAUCUGCACAAAAGGAUGUGAUUUGAGGAAGUAAAAGGUUCUCAACUUUUUGGCUUUAUUGAGAAUCUCUAAAACCGAUGGUAUUAUCUCUAUUGUGUAGAUAAAUGAUGAAUAACGUGUCAUAGGAUAUAUGUCUCUUUUAUUGACAGCUUUGGCGAUGCUUGAACAUUCUUCACCUGAAACAAAUUGAGCGAGAUCAUGAACAAGAUCAUGAAUCAUGAUGGCACCUAUCAUAUGCCUAAGUUCCUCGAAAAGUGAUCUCGAUAAUAGCUCUUCGAUAUAUUGGUAACCCACACCUUCCAAUUCCACACUCUCGUUGAGUGAUCGGAUAAAUCCUUCAGCAAUCCAAAGUUGGAUCAGGUCCUUAGUUAUUAUAAUAGUAUCCUUUGGAAAUAUGGAGCAAUAUGCAAAGCAUUGCUUCAGGUGCGACGGCAAAUGAUUAUAACUCAACCUUAGAGCUGGUAAAAUCCUAUUCGCUUCUAACUUCCAACUAUCAUUGUCCCGAACAGCCAACCACUCACUUUCCCUUCUCUUAGAGCGCAUCAAGCUACCUAAAACCUUUGCUGCCAGCGGAACACCGCCACAUUUUUUCACAAUCUCCUUUCCAAUGGUAACUAAGUUUGUCGUCUUCUCACAAGCACCUAUCCCAAAUGCUCUUCUCUCAAACAACAACCAACAAUCAUCCUCGGAUAAAGUCUUCAAAAAGUGUGGCUCCACCGUCGCCAUUAGUGAGGCAACUCUACUAUUACGGGUGGUCACUAUAAGUUUACUUGCGGUGGCCCCGGUAGUUAACAAAGUCCUAAAUAUGUCCCAUUUCUCGUAAUUUUCAUUCCAUACAUCAUCCAGCACGAGCAAAAAUAUUUUUUUCUCAAGCUCCUGUUUUAGUUUAGACUGCAUCGACGCCAUGCUUGUGAGAUCACAAGCAUUUCCCGUUGUAUGCUCUAUUAUUGAUCUGACAAGCCUUUUAUGGUCAAAAUCAUCAGAAACACAUACCCAUAUUCUCUUCUCAAAGUGAUCGCUUAUUUGUCGAUCAUUAUAGACUAAUUGCGCGAGUGUCGUCUUACCAAGCCCUCCCAUCCCAACAAUUGUUAUGAUCCCGAGAUCACCUCCAGAUGUGUCCACAAGAAAUUCGACGAUCUUUUUCUUAUCUUCUUCCCUACCAUAAACUUCCGAUUCAAUUACGAAGGAGCUAGUUUCUUCUCUCACCACAUUCUCUUGCCUACAGCAUGUUACUACACAUCUCUCUUGCAAAUGAAACUUAGAUCUCUCCUCUGCAAGCUCAUCUAGUCUCUCCCUUAUUUCCCUUAUCUCCCUAGCUAUCUUUAACUGAAACAUAACUGAGUUAGGCAAUGACAGCACUUUACUUACCGUUCCCUUCAUCCAGCUAGUGGUACUGCUUUCCGGAUCAGUUAAACUCCUCUUUCGGUUCCUGGUGAAGUCCUCGUCUAGCAGAUCGUCGAUAUCGUAGGCCACAUCUUUGAGGCGUCUCAGCCACCCUCUGAGGGCCUUCUCCUGCACUUGCCUCUCCUCCGCAUCCUCAAGCACGUCGCGGAUGAUGGAGAGGGUGCCCUCCAGCUUCUUCAGCUCGGCGCCGAUGUCCCUCAGCCAACCAAACUCGUCGACUAUUUGGUUCGGCAGCCUGUCGAGCAAGGAGCUGAGGAUGCCGGAAGCCACAACGUCGGUCAUUGUGUUUUGAUGGUUCGAUAAUCCUUUCCGUGGUCAAUAAAUUGCUUCUCCGCGGUUAUGUGGACUACCAACUUGAUGGAAAUGUGAAGGAAUAUACGAGGUGGCAUUGGUAGAAUUUUUUUUUUUUUUUUUUUUAAUUAAACAGGGAUCCACCCUAUUUGGUAAAGGAGGUACAAGCAGAGUAGACAAAAAGGAGUCUUGUUCAUUGGAGAACAAGGAGAGUACAAAUGAGAAAGAGUGGAAGAAACAGAGUAGUCGAACAAGGAGAGUACACUGUUCGGCAUUGGUAGAAAUUUAGGACCACUGCUUUUAAGGAUGUUUUCGAGAAGUUCACACUGACAGUUGACUUGACCUUGUUAGUCCCAUAUAGACGGUAACAGUUGACUUGAUCUUGUGAGUCCCAUAUAGAUGGUACACACUAUGUAUAAGCCAUAGAAUUAGGGGUGGCACUUCGGCCAUUAUUUGCGAGUCAGCUAGUGUUUGGUUUGAGAUGAGUUUGAGAUCGAAUUGCUCAUUUAGUAAACGAGCCGAACACAAGUUGAAUUUUUCAACUUGUAUAAUGAAUGACUUGAACACGAGAUGGGGUCAACUCGUUCGUGAUCGGCUCGAUAACAGCUCGAAUGCAUAUAUUUUAUAUUUAUAUAAUAUAUAUAAUUUUAUAUUUGUAUAUAUAAAUAAAUAAUUAUAUAUAUAUAAUACAUAUUUUUAUUAUUUGAUUUUUAGCUCAACCUAAAUAUAAAACACAAUUUAAUUAUAAAAUUUCAACCAUUAGAUCAAAGUCUAAUAGAUAAGACAUCAUAAAUUUAUUUUCUAUAUAUAUAUUCUUUCUAAUUUUUUUAUUUAUUGUUUAUGAGCCGGCUCGUGUUUGGCUCGUUAAUAGACGAGUCGAACACGAACUGAAUUUUUCAGUCCUAUACUGUAACGAAUCAACUCAUGUUUGGCUCAUUUAUGAAACGAGUCGAACACGAGCCCGCCUCAGCUCGCCCAUAUUCGGCUCGCCAACAGCCCCUAUAUAGAAUCUACGGACAAGUUAAUUACACAAUAUUGACUCACAUGGUAUCACAUUCUCUGCUUCAGAGUGCUUCAAAACAUUUUGGAAAUUAUAUAGAGUAUAUAUCUUAUAUUCAUAAGUUUUUGGAUUAAAAAAAUGCUCUCGACUUUCUGCUAAAAAUAAAUUGAUCAGACAUAGUUAAUGGAUCCUAAGUAUCUAUAGCGUAGAGGCCGACCGUUCCUAGAUCAAGUGGCAAAGGAUUUGGUGGUUGGUAUCCGAGGUCUUAAAUUCGAAUCUUAGUUGAUUCAUAUUUUCAGCUAAGUUUAUUUCUAAAUAAAAUAAACAAAACGAGUAGAGUACUGCCUAUCUCUUAAAAAAAAACUAUCUAUAGCGUAGAGUGUUUAUCUUAUACCUAGAUUUUUGGCGUACAAAUAACAUUACUUAAAAUUUUUUAGGUUAAUUGCAACCAUGGCCCUUGGCCUUCGUUUAAAUACUUAUUUUGGUCCCUAAUAUUGUUUUUGUUUACAAUUAGAUUCUUAACUUUUAUGGUUAAUUGCACCCUUAGGUUCCGUUUGGUUCGAAAAUUAGUUGGAAUUAGUUAUAUCAGUGAUAGGUAUAAGUAUGAGUUUUUGUAAGGAUAAGGUUUUUUUUUUUUGGAUGAAAAUGUGAGUAUAAACUGGAACUAGAAAAAUUGUGUUUGGAUGAUUAUUGAGAAUAAGAGGAAUAGUUGGUAGUCAUAAAUAGAAAAUAAUGAUAUUACUCCUAUAAUUAAAUUUAAAAUUUAAAAUUUUAAACUUAUAAUUUUAAAUUGAAAAUUUUAAUUUUUAAAUUUAAUUAUUUUAAUUCACUCUGAAAUUAAACAUUAAAAAUUUUUAAUUUCAAAAUUAAUUUAAAUAUCAAAUUUUAAAUUUAAUACGGCAAAUUUAAAUUGUGAAAGAUAUAACGAAUAUCAAAUUUAAAUUUAAAAACUAAAAUUAUCACAUUUAAAUUUAAAUUUAAAAAUAUCAAUUUAAAAUUUAAAUUUUAAAAUUUAAUUUUAAUUUAAUAAAUUUUAAAUUUCUGAAGAUUAUAAUUUUUACAACAUUUAAAUUUAGAUUUAAAAUAUAUAUAUCUUCUCUCUUCUACCCGGCAGAUAUUCGCACCACUGGGGUGGGAACAGUUCGUUCCCAACCCAUGAACCGGUAGGGUACUUGGGUGGAAAUAACUUGUUACCACACCCACCCAAAUAGUGUGUUUGAGUAGCAAAAGCGGGAUCAAUCCUAAUCUAAUGCUGUGUUUGAAUUGGGUAAAACAAGAGGGGAGGAUAAGGGGGUUAUCCGCCCUCUUGUACCGAACACCAUUUGGGUGAGUAGAGCGAACAUACUAUUCCACCAGGGGUGGGAACACCCCCGGAUAGAGAGAGAGAGAGAGAGUAGAGAGAGUAAUUUAUUUUAAAUUUAAAUUUAAAUUUUUUAAAAUUUAUAUUUUAAAUUUUAUUAAUUUAUAAUUUAAAAUAAAUUUGAUGUUAAAUUUUAAUUUUGAUAUUUUUAAAUUUAAAAUUUUAAUUUGAUAUUUUUAGUUUUUAAAUUUUAAAUUUGAUAUUUUAUAUCUUUCAAAUUUAAAUUUGGUCUUAAAUUUAAAAUUUGAUAUUUAAAAUUAAAAUUUUGAAAAUUAAAAUUUUAAAUUUUAAUUUCAGAUUUUAAAAUUUAAAAGUUAAAAUUUUUAAUUUAAAAUUAUAAGUUUAAAAUUUAAAAAUUUAAAUUCAAUUAUAGGGGUAAUAUUAUUAUUUACUAUUUAUAACCAUCAACUAUUUCUCUUAUUCUCAAUAACCAUCCAAACACAAUUUUUUUAGUUCCGGCUUAUACUCAUAUUUUUAUCCAAACAAAAAAAUACUUUUGUUCUUAUAAAAAUUCAUACUUGUACCUAUCCCCGUUAUAACUAGUUCCUACUAAUUUUCGAACCAAAUGAAGUUAGUCUCUAAACUUUACAAAUUUUUUCACUUUGGUAACUUGGUUUGUAAUUAAUCUCUUCUCCUAUAUGCAUAUCCCAUCAUAUCAAGCCUAAUUUUACCCCUCUCGAUAUCGUCUUCUAUACCUACAGCGAUCUCGACCUUGUAUAAGACAUUAAUUAUGUUUUUCAGAGUAUUCAAUAGCUUGAUGAAGUUAGUGAAACUACCUAAUUCUUCCAAAUACUUAAAAAAGUUGGUGUUUAAAUUGAACAAAGUUAUUUGAUUAUUAUCGUGGUUUAUAUGAUGAGACAAAACAGACAUGUCUUAUUUUACCAGAAUUAAUAAGAAUUUUUAUAUGAUUGGACCUAACUGAAAUAAUAUACAAUUAUUCAGAUCGCAAAACAAAAAAGAUAGAGACCAAAAUUAAAAAAAAGAAAAAAGGUUGAGAGCCAAUUGUUCACAAUCUAAAUGAAUGAAGUCGUAGCAUGCUACCUAUUUUUCAAAAAAAAAAAAUCUUUUUUUGAGUGUACAAGUUCCAUUUCUCUUGCUCAUCUAUCAUGUUCAAACCUUAGUUAGUUAAUUCGCAUGUAAUACGCGAAUAAUUCGCGACUAAUUGGAAAAACGUUUAAAACGUCCCGUCUACGAAUUUUUUCGAAAAAAUUGGAAUAAAACGUGUUUUUUUUCCAUACUCAAAAUAUUUGCGAUCAAAACGGUAUUCGCGAAUUAUAUUCGGAAAAAUUCUGAUUUAGCGGCGGUGAAACGAUGAAAUUUUUCAAAAAAAAUUGGAUUGGGCUGCCGUGGAGAUGUAAUUUCUCGAACGGGCGUCGCACGACCACCGCUCCGCAGAUCCGUACAUCUUUCCCGAGCAGUCGGGCAAUUUUGCUUCUUCUAUUUUGAAGAAACCAUGGAGAUGCAGCAAGCGGACACGGAGCAAGCGAAGAAGAAAAGAGGUGGGACAAGGGCGACGAAAAUCACGGUGCACCGUGUUGGGAAGAAGGGUGGUCCCCGAGGACUCAGCCUCGUGGACCGCGUGGGGUGGACACACCGCGUUGGGAAAAAGCGCAGUCCACAAAGUUGAGUGCAGCCUCGUGGACGCGUGGGGUGGACGCACCGCGUUGGAAAAAAGCGUGGUCUAUAAGGCUCACUCAACCUCGUGAACUGUGUGGAGCACUCUCCCUUUGUGUUUAACUGUUUAUACUAGUAAAUUACCCGCGCGAUGCUGCGGAUAUAAAAUAUUUUAAUAAUAAAUUUUAAUUAAAAUAUUCAUAUUAUUUUAAUUUUUAAUUAUUAAUUAUAUAAAUUUAAAAAUAAUUUGAAUAAAAAGAAUGUAAAUUGGUUUAUGUGCUACAAAAUUUUUUGUAAGAACUUGCAAGUAACUAAAUAAUUUUAUAAAGAAAUAUAUAAGCAAAAAAUUAUUAAAAAAUUCAUAAGAAAAAAAGGUUGUUGGGAGAAGCUCUUUUAGUCUUCAACUCUUCAUACAUAGGAAAAGAAAAAUUUUCUAUAAGAUUCACUAUUCAAGGUUCUAUAAGGUUUCACCAUUUAAACUAAAAUAUAAUUUAAUAAAUAUAAUCUAUAUCAUAUAAAAAUACAUUUGUAAAAAAUAUUUGAUCAAAUUUUGUAUAAAUUUUAAUAAAUAUUUUAUUUAGUUAACCAAAAUUAAUCAUAAAAAGUUAAAAAAAACUAUAAAAAUCAAUUAAAAAAUUAAAUUUGAGCAGUCUAUUGCAAAGGGUCUUAAUAGUUGAGAGGGUCCUCACAUUUUUUUUGCCAAAACAUCUUUUGCUAAAAAUGUAUAGAAACUUCCUAAACUUUUAAUUUUUUAAUUAAGGUAAUUUUAUCAAAAAAUUUAUAAAUUUUGUUAAAUUCAUUAGUAAUUUCGUUAGAUUUAGAAUUUUAAUUUUUUUUGGUCAUUUUAAUGUAACUAAGCAUAAAAAUUACAGUAAGAAAUAAAACUUGAUUGGGUCUUAAUUCAAAAAAAUUAUAGUUGGGGGUUAUCUAUAUAUGUUUAUUUAUAUUAAAGGAAAUGAUACUAUUUGAUGCACCAAGUGUAUAAAUAAAUUUUGUGCACUUUAUUUUUGAAAAUCUGAUAUAAAAAUUUAAACUCUAGUAAAUUUUGAUAUAUAGACAUUUUAUAUAGAUAGGUCGCAUUUAUAAAAUUAUAUUUUAAUUUAAUAAUACUAAUUAUAAAAAGUUAGGAUUAAUAUAUGUAAUAUUUAUAGACCUAAUUAUAAAAAGUUAGGAUUAAUAUAUAUAAUAUUUAUAGACCUAAUUAUAAAAAGUUAGGAUUAAUAUAUGUAAUAUUUAUAGACUGGGUGCGGGCAAAGUUUUUCUAUAAAUAAAGAGUGGGUAGGGAAGAAAUCAUUCGGGUCUAUACUUGUAUUUAACAUCAUACUAAUAAAUCCAUAUUGCUGGAACUUAAAGCCUAUAAUAUUUUGUACAUAAACUUAUUAUAAAAUGUAAAUUAUAUUUAUUAAAUUAUAUUUAAUUUUAAAUUGAAAAAAUAGAUUUGAUGUAUAUUAUAUUUGUGUAGAUCGGGUGCAUGCAAUUUUUUUAAAGAGAGACAGAAGAGCUUUAGGAGGACACUUGUCACCUCCUAAGGGCCUUGAGGUGACCCAACUCUCCUUUAAUGGAGUAGUAAAGUAAUAGAAGUAAUAUAUAUAUAUAUAUAUAUAUAUAUAUAUAUAUAUAUAUAUAUAUAUAUAUAUAUAUAUAUAUAUACUAUGCUAUCGGAUGCAUUGAGGAUCUGAUGCUUCCAACUUUUUGACCAUUGAAUUAAAAAUUAUACGGUUGGGAUGAUUGCGGUCCUCUAGAGUUGAAUUGUAUCCCUAGGGUUGAGUUGUCCCCACAUGGUAAUAGUAUUAAUCCAAAAAUUAGAAAUGAUCAAAGGAGUUGAUCUAAGGGCCAAAAAAUCGAAAGCACCAGAUCCUCUAUGCUUCCGAUAGCAUCGCAGCUUUACUAUAUAAAUAGAGAGAGAGAGAGAGAGUGAGGCUACUAUGCUUCUGGAAGCAUAGAGCCUUUUGUACUUUCAGAUCGUUUUCGAUGUUGCGGUUUUCGAAUCGUCGAUCGGCUCUGUUAAACUUGAUCUAGAGUAUUUGAAGUACUUAGAAAAUAAAUUUUAUAAUUUUUCGAUAUCAUUUGCCUAGUGAUCGAAGGGACUCAAAUCAUUAAUUUUAAUGGCCGUGGUGAGCCGUUUGCAAGUUUAACGGCGUAGAAAUAUCCAAAUCACGUGAAAUUUUGAUAGAAAAUUCUUUAUACUAUAUAAAAUAAGAUCAAUAUCUUUGAACUAAAAUUUUAAUGUCAUAUUAUCACGUUUUAUAAGAUUUUUAUUUUCAGCUGUUGAUUUUGAACCCCUUAGUUCACUAGGCAAAUGAUAUUGAAAAAUUACAAAAUUUAUUUUCUAGAUACUUCAAAUACUCUAGAUCAAGUUUAAUGGAGCCGAUCGACGAUUCGAAAGUCGCAACAUCAAAAACGACCGUGCUUCUAGAAGCAUAGUAGCCGCACUCUCUCUCUCUCUCUCUCUCUAUAUAUAUAUAUAUAUAUGAGUCACAUUGCUAUACUCUUAUGAGUACGAUCGCUUCGUACUCAUAAGUCGUUUUCGAUGAUAGAGCUUCCGAAUCGGCGAUCCAUACCAUAAAACAUUAUCUAGAGCAUUUAAAACUUCUAAAAAUUAAAUUUCAUAAUUUUUCGACAUCAUUUACCUUACGAUCAAAAAGUCACAAAAUUGACAAUUUUUAACGACCGGUAUGGGAUACUUGCUAGUUUAACGGUGUAAAAGAAUCGAAAUAGGUUGAAUUUUUGAUAGAAAAUUUUAUUCACUAUCUAGAUAAAGAUGAAUAACUCCGAUCUUAAAUUGAAGAGUCCGAUCAUCUAUUUUUAGGACGUCGUUUAAUUUUGACCAUUCAUUUUAUGCCCGCUUGAUGGACUUUAUUAUGAUUUCGAAAAAUUACGAAAUUUAUUUUCUAAAAAUUUUGAAUACUCUAGAAUUUUUAACGGUGUCAGAUCAUCCAUUUUUAGGAUGUCGUUUAAUUUUGACCGUUCAUUUUAUGCCCGCUUGAUGAACUUUAUUAUAAUUUCGAAAAAUUACGAAAUUUAUUUUCUAAAAAUUUCAAAUGCUCUAGAUCAUUUUUAACAGCGUGAAUCGUCGAUUCGGAAGCUCUAUCAUCGAAAACAACUUAUGAGUACGCAGGGCUCUAUACUCGUAAGAGUAUAGUAGCCCUACUCUCUCUCUCUCUCUCUCUCUCUCUCUCUCUCUAUAUAUAUAUAUAUACACACACACACAUUAUUUUAUAUAUUAUUUUAUAUUAUUUUAUUUUUAUAUUUGUAAGAAUUAUAAUUAUUUAUGAUAAUAGCAUAAUUCUAAAGAAAAAUAAUAAUUUAGUAGACGAAUUUUUAUUUCUAAUUUUUAAAUAAUAAGAGUAAAAUUCUCGUAUAAAUCGCGUAUAUGAAGUAUUAACGAAUUCGAUUUUUAAACCGUAUUUUUUAACGAAUUUAAAAAUUAAGAUAUAAAUUUUAGUCGUAUUUUAUCCGUACCGAAUUUUUACCGUAUCCGAAUUAACUAACUAUGAUUCAAUCAGGAAAUAUGUACAAUAAUCACGACAAUUAUGACUUAGAAGUUUUUAACCUAUGAUGUUGACCAUCGAGGUUGGUUUACUAUAUCUUUUAUUAUUUACUGUAAUUAUGUUGGCCAACACGACCCACAGUUGCAUAUUAUGAAAUAAUACGAAAUAAUAUUGUACUUUAAAAGCUUAGCCCGAUAAAAAAUAAUAUUUAAAUAUUUUUAUAUUUAACAUUUUGUUCCACGUUUGGUCUUGAAACUUUUUGUAAGAUCAAGACUGAACUUUAAUUAAAUUUAAAUAAAAAAAAUUAAUAAUGCUAGGAGCCAUGGGGUACUAUUUUGACCACCAGAGUAAUCCCAAUGUGAUAAAAAGGCGGAGUUAAUCGAGAACUAAGGAUAUUCCAGAAGCAUCACCCAUUAAAUUUAAAGCAAAAAAAAAAUCUUUCGCUCGUUUUUCUUUUGGAAGAACAGUAGCAGCAGGUGAGCACUCCUCUUCCACACUGUUCUCUGAUCUGAUGGGAAGAGGGGGUUGGCUAUUGGUCUCCUGGGUCUAAGGGAGGUUGCUAUCCACCUAAUCUUAUCUUGGUCCAUGAAUAAGCACUAGCUCACGCAUGUACUCGCCGCACCUUUUGCCUUCCCCCACCUCACCCCUAAAAUAAUAUUUUUUUGAUUAAACAGGAAUAUACCUUAUUUGAUAAAGAGAGUACAAGUUUAGACUGCAAAGUUUAGCUCGGCUUUGCCCAAGUAGGGUCAGUAAGCUAACUUGUGAAGAUACAUCAGAAUCAGUAAUAAAAGCUGGUAGAAUCAAACAAUCGAGCACACUAGGACCCCAGGAUAGACUUCCAGAGCUUAACAACUGAGACAACAGUCGUUCCCAAUUCUCAUACGUAGAAUGCCGAUUACUGAAGAUUCUUGCAUUCCGCUCUUUCCAAAGUUCCGAACAGGCUCCAACAAAGUAAAGGUUGAAAAGUGUUUUUGCUGCUGCCGCCAAGGACUCUCUACCUCGCGUCCAUCUAGUCGAGGUGUCUCCAACUCGAUUGACCGUUAACUACCUCGCGUCCAUCUAGUCGAGGUGUCUCCAACUCGAUUGACCGUUAAUUCAGCAGUGACUGGGGUGCUAGAGAGGAGUCGGUUCCACAGAGACCUUGCAUAGUUGCAUCGAAAGAGGAGGUGAUCCAGGUUUUCUUCGUUGGCGGAGCAUAACACGCGUAUGGAUGGUCCCUGUCAACCUCGUUUUGCUAGUGAAUCAGCUGUCAAGAUCCUGUUCCCCGUUACUAACCACAUGAAAACUUUAAUCCCGGGUGGGAUCUUUAGUUUCCAAAACUGAGGUGAUCUGCAGUCAUUCACUCCACUGAAUGCGAAGAAGUCAUAAGCACUCCGUGUCGAGAAAUGGCCAGCUGAGUUCCACCUCCAGACAAUGGCAUCUUCUGAUUCCCCAUGUAAUGUAAUGUUGGAAACUAAGGCUUCCAGAUCUUGGAGUUCUUCUUGUGCUGCGGUGCUGAAAGGUGACCUGAACCCCAGCGUAGAGUGCGUGGCGAAGCGUCGAAACCAACAUUUGACAGAAGUCUGCUUAUGCACCGAUAUAGCAUGUAAUUCUGGAAAUUGCUUUUGCAGCGAAAGUUCUCCAUACCAUCUGGAAUUCCAUAAGGAUGUUACCUUUCCAUUACCUAGAGUAAAGUUAAUCGAAGUAGAGAACGCAGCAGCUGUGCUGAGCAUCGCCUUCCAAAUUGGGGAGCAACCAGUUGGCUUAGAACGAUCAAGCCGAGGUGGUCUAUGUUUGUAAUGUUUCAGCCUAAGUAACCAGACCCAAGGGAGAGAUGAAGAGUUAUAGAAUUUUCAGAGGCCCUUCAUUAAAAGGGCCGCAUUAGUGUGGCGCAUGCUUCGAAUGCCAAGGCCGCCUAAUAGCUUUGGGCAACACACAUUCUCCCAUUUGACUAAACAAUGAAAGCCAUUAGUAAGCUUUGCACCCCUCCAAAAGAAUCCUCUGCGUAUCUUGUCAAUCGCCUUUGUUACCCAAAUUGGUAGUAGGAAGGUAGAGCAAAAGUAGGUGGGUAUAAUAGACAGGACGGAAUUGAGCAUAACAAGACGACCCCCCCCCCUUCCAACCUGCAGUCUGUUGUCACAUUCUCUCCCCUAAAAUAAUUUGAACAAAAAAAAAAAAAAAAAAAAACUAAAUUAGGAGGUUAAUUUAUUUUGUAAAAUAUAAUCGGAAUCCCUUGGGCACAACUGUACAACAUGUUUGGUCAAUUGUUUCAAACAUUCUUAAGAUUAUUUUGUUUGCUAUCUCUCCAUUAUCUUGGUUCCAAACAAGCACUAGGUCAUGCAUAUAUGCAAUCACUGCACCUUUCCCCCCUAAUAAUAAUAAUAAUAAUAAUAAUAAUAAAAGAAAAAAAAUCUAAGAUGUUAUUUUUGAAGAACACAUUUCGUACUCUUUUGAAAGUGUAGAGGUUUUUAUACUUAUAAGUUGUUUUCAAUGGUGCAACAUUUUCGAUAAUCAAUUCAAUUAGGCAUGAUGUAUAUAUUAUUAUUAGAACUAUUUGAAAAUUAAAUUUCAAAAUAGGGUACAUCCCUGUUUAAUCAAAAAAAAAAAAGAAAAUCAAAUUUCAUAAUUUUUCGAUAUCAUUUAUCAAAUGAUCAAAUAAUUUAAAAAAUAACUAUUUUAUUAGCUAAUGUGGCGAGUUUGCAAAUUCGAUGGUAUAAAACAAUCGAAGUUAUGUGAAACUUUAAUAGAAAAAUCUAUAUAACAUCAGGAUCAAUACUUUCGAUUUGAAAUUUAAGUUUUUUAUUUCUCUUCAUUAGUCAAACUUGUUCUAGCUAAGUCUUGAGCUAAUAUGAGCCAGUAGGCCACAUAAUUUGCAACUAUGACCACAACUCGGAUCAAAUCGCCCCCAAAGUACCUCUUUAACUCUUCUGAGUAGAAGUCCUGACAAGCUCAAAUUCUCCUCCGAUAAUGCUUUACGAAAUUCUUUCAAGUGUUGCAUUCGGUCCAGCAUAACGCAGAGUGCCUCGAGGACUUCUCUUGAUUCGCAAAAAUGUUUUGAUUAGAUCUUGCCUACUAGUUUCCUUCCUCAUAAUCUCCAGCUUAUACAUAGUUGGUCCUCAAGUUUUAAGUCCUUUGAGCUCCCAGAAUACGAACUUCUCAGCAAGCGCAACAAGCCGUAGUCUUCAAAGACAGCAGCACAGCAUUCUACUCGCGAAGGCAUGGUCGUCAAGUCACGGCAACCACCAUCCAUAAUAAUAUAUGGUUGAGUUGUCAUGCUUUUCAUGCUCACUGGUAGCUUGUCAAUGAGCUCGUCUAAAGCGUGACAACACCAUAGAUUGAUCGAUCGAAGAUUGGAGAGGUGACAAACAGUUUCAGGUAACUUUUGGACUCCAGAAAAUGAUAGGUCUAAGUGUUGCAAGCUCCUUAGAUUACCGGUCGAACUUGGUAGGGAAAAAAGGCUCUUGCAGGAAGAAAGGUUCAAUGUUAACAGAUUGGAAAGGUCACCAAUGGAUUCUGGUAGUUCUUUUAAAGAUUCGCAUAGCAUUAGGUUCAAAAUCUGUAGAUUUUGGAGGGAGCCGAUGUCGAAUUUGACACUUCCGGGAACCCGUGUUCGUACAAUUAUCCGGCGAUAAUUGUGUAGUGGUGUUAUCUUGUGUUUGCUGCCAAAACAUCCAAAUUGGAGUGUUUUAGGGCAGUAGGUGACUCGUGACAAGAGUCGGUGAGUUUCGGGACACUUAGUGGGUCCCGACGGCGUCCCGGUGUGGUUUUCGGGACUUCCGGCGUAUUACGACGAUCGGUUUGGGAAACCGAUUCUCGUGGGUUUAUUUGUGGGUUUAUGCUUUUAGGGUUUCUUAGCUAUGGGUUAGACACUAACCCAGUGGACCCUCCUUAGGUCCUGUGUGACAUUCUUUGCAGUCAGGAGACAGCCGGAACAGUUUGUCGACAGGUGGGUACUUCGAUCCGAUCUGUCGUACAGUGGUGCAGCCCAUCGGUGAUGGUUUCUUACCUUGCCUCCUUUGUUUAUUAUCAUGCAUAUGUUAUAUUGUUGAGCUUUGUCACUCUAUUGAUUACAUUACACCCACGUCUGUUGAUUAUACUCUAACUCGUGUGUUUGGCAUACUUAGUAUCAUGAGUAGGAGUAGAGUGGUUCUAUCCGCAUUCGUAUCUGUUGACUCAGUUUGGUCUGUUGUGCAUUCCGUAUUGUUGACCUAGUUGGUCUGUUUGUGCAUUCCGUAUCUGUGACCUUAGUUGUCUGUUCUACCAUUCUCUACUCCAGUUAUUUCCAUAUUGAUAUCAUACUUAGGAUAGUAGUUGACUUUAUCUGCUUACUAUAUCUGUGAUUUGUUGGCGAGUUCCCUCAUUGUGGAUAUCUAUGACCUAUUCGGAUCGAGUUGCUGACAGUUCACUAAUAUCUGUGAUUUGGCUUGGGCGGUUCCCGCUAUUGUGAUAUCUGAUGACCUAAUUCGGUUUGAUUAUGCUACAGUUCUAUCCUGGACAUACGUAGGCCGAUAUUGCUUGAUCGGCUAUUCGUCGGUGGCCCUGAGAGGCUGGAUCUGUCGGUAGUUGCCGAUGGAAUGAUCCUUUUGAGCCAUACUAACAUUGAUCGCCACUGCAGAUACGCAUUCACGAACACCAAAGCGGCUUAAUCCACCGCAAGAGGGUCGUUCUUUUCCCGGAAAAAGUGGUUGGAAUUGCCAACCGUGAGUCCCAGGGCUUUAUUGCGAGCGGUAUAUGCUUCUGACGCCAGGGCUCGUCAUUUGCGUAGGAGUCAGGUACUGAUGCUUCUGACCCAGGGCUUCUAUUGCGAGCGUCAGGUACGUGGCUUCUGACCAGGGGCUCAUUGCGAAGGUCAGGGUUACUGUACUUUGACCAGGGGCUCAUUAGCGAGGGUCACGGACAGGUUGACAGUGUGGCAUGGGCCUGAAAGGUCUUCGGACAGAUAGCGCGCGAGAUUUGGUACUUUUGAGCUUAUCUGUCAGUUGACGCCUGCAUACAGUGACUGUAUGUUUAUUUUCGAAAGUAACAUCUCUAAUCUUGUUAUUGAGCUACUGUAUUUAUUUUAGCUGCAUCUAUACUUGUCGCUCCUUAUUACUUUCAUGCAUCUUACUGUACACAUUAUGUCUAUCUAGUUCUACGUGUUUGUUGUGAUAGCUCUUCCUGAUCUGGGUGAGUAUCCAUAGCUUACAUCGCUCUGCGUAUCCAGGGAGGGGAGACAUGUUUACAUGUUCUCACCUCCCCACAUUUUUCAGGUAUCUGCGGGCGUGAGGGUUGAGACGAGGCUGAGGUACGCGUGUAGCGGUCGAUAGAGCUUCCGACCCAGGUUAUUCGGUUUAUUUUUACCCUUCUUAUUUCGGUUGAUGUUAGUUUAGUUGGUUCAUGUGGUUCAGUGUUCUAAUUUACAUUUGAAAAUGUGAAUUUCUGAAUUUUGUAAAAUAAAAGGUUUCUUACCACCGGGUAGCGUUUUAAAAGAUAAAGGUUUCCGUUGUAGGAAACAGUUUUCAAAAGAAUUUUUCGUGAAUUCUAUUUAAACAUUGAAUGUAAAACUGUGAUGUUAAUGGUGAAUGUAUGAUGUAUAGGUAUUCUUUUAUAUCUCAUUUGGUUGUGUUGUUUCCUGGCUAUACUCUUGUACUUGUGCGACGCGUGCAAAUACAGGAGAACUCUGUCGCGGUGAGCAGUGGAUUCCCUGUAUUUUGUGCGGAUCUGGCAUACCCUGGGAUCAGGUUUCCAAAAAAAAAAAAAAAAAAAAAAAAAUCGCUGUGUUUUAACCUAAAAGGGACCCCGAGGCGUGACACUAAACGAAAGGAGGAAAGGAGACCAGUUUUGGGCUGUGAGCUUGAGGAUCCAAGCAUGUCCGUGGGUGAUGGGCAUGAUAAUCGAAAAAGUCACACAAGAAGAAAAAUGAAGGGUGAAACAUCAUCAUUCUCGCAAGAAAAAUAGAAGGGAGGCCAACGGUCAUUCUCAGGUUGACCAAAUCAACCUGCGUACUCUUUCUGCAAUAUUGUGAUUAGGACUUUCCCUAAGACCUCUAUUGUGGUUCAAAAACUAAAUUUUAGAAAGUAAUAGGGAAGUCUAAUAUCAUAAAUACCCUUCUAAAAAAAUAUAUUAUAAAUAAUCUUCCAAAAAAGAGAAACUUUUAAAAAUAACCUUUACACUGAAUUACAGUCAAUUUUGAAUUAAUGGUAAAUAAAAUUCCAACUUUACUCCUAUUGUCAUUACCAUCUUAAAAUAUUUAAUUGGCUAUAAAAUCAUAUAUGAUUUUAUAAACACCCUUUUAAAUUUAUAAAUAACCUACAUUAAGAGAUAAAAUUUUGUCAAUUAAAAAAAUAUAUAUAACCUGACAAGUUAAACUAAAAAAAUAUAAAAAUAAAAAAGUCAAAAAAUAUCAGGCAAAAAAUUCUUUAAAGUAUUAGUUGACUCAUAAAAAUAAGGUUAAGCACUUUAUUUAAAAUAUAACCUAAAUAUAUAUGCAUGAUGUGAACUAAGUUAUUUGAACAUGCACGGAUUUCUGUGCUUUGGCAUAUAGAAUUUUAAGAUUUUCACUUUAUUUCAAAAGAAAAAAUUGCGUAAGAUUUGAUUUCAUACAACAAAAGAAGUUCCACUUUUUGCUCUAGGUUUUCUAUCUUAAUUUUUCAUAUAAAUAUGCUGUUAAAUAAAAGAGGAAAAUAUAUGCUCACCAUACAGUAAUAAAAUGAUGUAUUUUCCUCUGUAUUUUAAUAUUUUAAAAUAAAUAUUAUCAUGCUAAAAUACUUUUGUAAAGGAUUUUGAAGUUAAAGACAAAAUGGACAUUUCAACCACAUUUAUGAUAAUUAAAUAUAGGGAUAUUAAGAGUAUAUUUGAAAGAUAGUAAGUAUUUGUAGGGAUAUUAAUUUGUGAUAUAAUUAAAUUUAUAGUGGUAUCUAUGAUAUUUUUGAAGUUUAGAGAGGCACGAAUGAAAUUGACCCAAAAUAAUAUUUGCCAUCUUGAGAACAAGAGACAUUCUGGUAUAAGUUAGAACAAUAAUAAAUUUGUAUUUGGAUGUAUUUCGAGGGUAAAACUGUACGUAGACCCCAACACUUUGAAGAGAUCUGUUAAUUUGAGACUUAAAAAAAUAGAUAAAUAAUUUAAAUUAAAAAAUCUUUUAUAUUUUUAAUACUCUCAAAAUUGAUAGUUUAUUGAUUUUUUUUUUUUUCAAUUUAUAUACUUUGUUGCAUAACUUAUAACUAACUUAAUCUGCAAACUUAUUUUUGCUAAGCUUUAUAAUUGAAUUCAACAGUAAUUCUAAAUAGCUGGAUCCAUUUAACGCAAUUAUGGCAAAGUGCAGUACUAAUUAAUUAUUAUCUUUUUACGUAGAGUGUUCACGAGAUAUGAGAUAAAAUACAAAGGAUCUUUUUGUUAAAAUAAGUCUUUAUUUCACUGUAAUGCCCUAUUUAGAUACAUAAUAAAAAAGUUCCAUGGAGUUUAUAUUCUGUAAUUUUGGUUUGAAUGAAACAGAAAAUUCGGUAACUAUAAAAAAUUUUCAUAGCUUUGAUUUUAAACUGUUUGGAUACAUAUCAUAUAAUUUCAGAAAAACUCUAACAAUUAAAAUUUUAUGUAAAUUUAAAAUUUAAAAUUUAAAGUUUAAAAUUUAAAAAUUAACUAUUUUUGAUGACUCGUUUCCAGUUUGGAACUUUGUGUGUAUAGUGAAUUUGAUGGCUUUAUUUGCACAAUAAGAAAAUUGAAUUUGAUUUGAAUUUAGAAUAUACUAUUUUGAUUUGAAGUUAAAUAAUAUAAAAUAAUUGUUUUUCUUCAAAAUCUUCAACUACCAUAUAUUAGGAUUUUUAAUAUUAAUAUUCAACAAUCUCAAUUACCUAUUUGCACAAAAAAAAAAAAUUCCUUUAUCUCAUAAAGGCCGGCGCUGGCUACAGCGACAGAGGAGGAGGAGAGCGAGGGGCUCUUUGUUUAGAGUUUCAGUAGAUUAAGUAAGGGAAGAAGGGGAGAUGGUGAUCAAUUUUUCUUUUUUCUUUUUCUGUUUGUAUUUAGGUCGAAUAGGGUGGAUGGAAUGAGUUGAAUAGAGUAACAUUUUAUUUUUGGUUAGAGUGGACUUUAUAUUUAGGCCUUUGUAGUUUUUUUAAAAAAAUUUUGUAUAAAUGGAACACUUACAUAAAAAUAUCCAAAAAAUAUGUUUAUAUAACUAAUUCUAUUUUAGUGGCAAAGAAAAAAUUAGAAUAAUUAUUAAAGCUAAUUUUAAAUUGAAUAAAGGAAAUAAUAGAAUACAUAAGGGUGUAUUUGGUUCCGAAUAAAAUCAUCCUGUAACGAUCCAGCCCACUAGCAACAAUAACUCGUUGGGCCCAACAACCGGCCAAAAUGCUUAAGCUCAGUUACCGUUAAGGCCCUGACGUCCUCGUCAGUCCAAUCACACACACACAGUCCAAGAUCACCAAGCGAUGUGAGACUCGUCUCGCUAGCCCGUCAUCCAGACCCUGGCUCAGCCGAGACUCGCCACACAUGUCCAGCUGGUGAACCGGCUCUGAUACCAAAUGUAACGACCCAGCCCACUAGCAACAAUAACUCGUUGGGCCCAACAACCGGCCCAAAAUGCUUAAGCCCAGUUAUUAUUACUAGUGUCUAAGUCUCUUAUAAACCCAAUGACAACCCCAUUUCCAUCCGAUGUGGGAUUAUUGGGGUGUCACACACCCCGAAAUUUUUUUCAUUUGAAAAGUCAAAUUCCCGUGUUUCAUUACUCGUAAAAAUAUUUUCUCGAAUUCUUUUUUACAUAUUAUAAAGAGAAUGAGGGUUUUUGUUUCCCCUUGCUUUGAGAGGAAACACGCGGCGUUGAGCAUGCGCAACAAAAGCACACAGUUCACGAGGUCUGCUCCACCUAGUGGACCGUGUGAGAAAGGUUCACGGUGGACUUAUUUCUCUCAUUUAUAUAUACUAGUUGAGUGUACGUACAAAUGCACAUAUAUAAUAAUUAUUUUAAUAUAUUUUUAAAUCAAUAAAAAAUUUAUAAAUCAUAUUUAUUCAACAUUUAAAAUAAAAUAUUCUGUAAAUUUAUAUAUUAUAUUUUAUUAGAAAAUAUCUACAAUAUCCUAUAUUAUUCUUUUCUUUAUAUACAUUAAAUAUUUUUAUAUAUUUUUGGAUAUCUAAUAAAUCUAAAAUUUAAGUAAGUGUUUUAAACUAAAAGUAUAAAAAUUUAAUUGACAUUUCUUUCAAAAUUUAAAAUUUAAUUUUGAUCCAUUAUAUAAUUAAAUUUUUUAAUUGUUAAUUCAAGUUUGAUAUCAAAAAUCAAAAGUAAAUUUAAUUCACAAUUUAAACUCAAAUUUAAAUUUUAAUGUAAAAUAGAUGGAUAGAUUUAAUAUCAAAAAUUAAAAAUUUAAUUUAAUUUACGAUUUAAACUCAAAUUUAAAUUUUAAUAUAAAAUAGAAGAAUAAAAGUGCUAUUUUUUAAUAGAUUGAUCAUAACUGUUCAUUUUUAUUUCAAAUAUUUUUUAUUAAUUGAUCAUAACCAUUCAUAGAAUUGAAUUUAUAGAUUGGUAUAAAUAUUUUUUUAAAAAAAAUUGAUCAUAACCGUUUCGUUCUUAUUUGAGAUAACUUUUUACAAAUUGAUUAUAAAUUUGUACACCAUAUUAUUCCAAAAAUAUGAUUUACAAAUUUAUUAACCAAUCUAUCUUUUAAACUAUUUCCAUUGUAAUAUGUUGAUAGUUUCAAAAUUUAAAAUUUUAAAUAAUUUUAAAUUUUGAGUUGAAAUAUAGAUUUAUAAUAGAUAUUCUGGCAAAAAUUUGGAUAAGCAUGAAUUUUUUUCUAUUCUAGAGAUAAAAAAAUUUAAUAAACUUUGAAUUAAAAUAUAAAUUUACAAUAGAUAUCUUUCGGUUGGCAAAAAUUUGGAUAAAUAUUUUUGUUUCUAUUUUGGAGAUAAAGAGAAAUUAAAUGUUUGUUUCAUUACUUUAUUUAUUUUACGUGAGGAAAGAAGAAUCAUUUUUUUUUUCCGCCAAAAAAUUGGUAUGUCGAUAAACCGAAAUUUGAAAUACGUGCUUUUAUAUAUAGUGUAGAUAGAUAAAUAUAGAAAUAGAUAUAGAUUUUAUCAAUUAUAUAAUUAAAUUUUUUUAAUUGUUAAUUCAAUUUUGAUAUCAAAAAUCAAACAUUAAAUUUAAUUCACGAUUUAAACUCAAAUUUAAUUUUUAAUGUGAAUAGAUCGAUAAAAGAGCUAUUUUUUAACAGAUUAAUCAUAACCAUUCAUUUUUAUUUCAAAUAUUUUUAAUUUAUUGAUGAGUUUAAAUUUUUUUUUAACAAAUUGAUCAUAAAUUUGUACAUCAUAUUGAUUCAAAAAUAUGAUUUACAAAUUUAUUAAUCAAUCUAUCUUUUAAGUUAUUCCAUUGCAAUAUGUACAUAGUUCCAAAAUUUAAUAUUUUAAAUUAAUUUUAAAUUUUGAAUUGAAAUAUAUGUUUACAGUAGAUAUUCUGGUAAAAAAUUAGAUACGCAUGAAUUUUUUUCUAUUUUAGAGAUAAAAAAAUUAAACAAAUUUCAAAUUAAAAUNUCUGCCAAAUAAAGAGUCUGUCGAUAGACCGAAAUUUGAAAUACAGGCUCUUAUAUUUAGUAUAGAGUAGUUAUAGUGCACAUGCGAUAUACAUCAAAUUUAAUUAAAUUAAAUUUAUAUUUAUAUUUUAAAUUUAAAUUAUUAUUAGUGGUAUAUGUCUAUUUAUUAUUUAAUUUUUUUUCAUACUUUAGUUUAUUUCUAAAUAAGAAUUAUGUAUUUUUAAUUUAGUUAUACUGUAAAUAUUUUUCAUAUGUAUUUCAUAACAAGCAAAUUUUUAUUGAAUUUGAUCUUGAUUCAAAAUUUGAAUUAAUUAAAAAUAUUAAAUUAAUAAAUUCACAUUUAAAUUUAUGAACGAAACUCAAAAUUUUAAAUUUAUUUUGAUUUCAUAAUUAUAAUAUUAGUAGUUAUUGGAGAUAUAGAUCUAUUUAUCAAUUCACAGUAGAUAUUCUCUAAUUGGUAAAAAUUUGGAUAAGUAUAAAUUUUUUUUAUUUUAGAGAUAAAGAGAAAUUAAAAGUUUGUUUCAUUACAUUACUUAUUUUCCAUAAAAAAAGAGGAACCAAUUUUUUUUUCUAACUAAGAAAAUGGGUUUAUUGACCGACCGAAAUUUGAAAUACGUGUAUUGAUAUAUAAUAUAUAUAUAUAUAUAAUUUUUACUAUAUAUAUAAAUUAUACAAUAUUUUAUUUAUAAAUAUUAUUUAUUAAUUAUAUAGUAAUUAAUUUUAUAGUAUCGAUUAUAUAUACUAUUAUAUAUUAUAUUAAAUAUUUAUAGUAUAAUAUAUUUUAAAUAUAUUUUAUUUAUAAAUAUAAAUUAUAAUACUAAUGUAUGUAACAUGAUAAUUAUUAUAUAUCAAUAAUUAUAUAAUACAAAAAAUAAAAAAGUAUAUAUAAUUGUUUUUAUUUAUAUAUAUAUAUAUAUUUUUUACUUUUCAACCAAACAAUCGUAAUAGAAAUCUAUUUUUUUUCCUACAAAUUAAACGCAAUGUAAAACUUAUUAUUCUCCGAAAAUUAUUUUUUACUGAAAUUUUUCUUAUAGUUUUAUGUGAAAUCAAACAGCCCCUACGUAAAUUUGAUGGUUUUAUUUGCGGAUGAAGUAAAUUACGGUGUAGGCGAAACUGCAAGAGUUUUUUAUUUCAAGUUGGCCGGACAUUCCAUACAAUCGGAUAUAGUUAAUAUAACACUAUAGAAAAUGAGCAAUGAUUGGACUAGUAUUAGAAAAGUACCCACUAAAACACAUUUACUAAAUACAAAGUCAUAAAAUAGAAACUUGCAGAAGAACAAACAUUCUGACCAGCAAACAUCAACACAUUUUCUUAAUUUCUUUUAUGGCCAUUGUAUUGAUUGCCUUUUUUUCUUUUUCUUUUUUUUUGCUUGAGACCAAUAUAAGUAGUACAAUAUUCCAAAUCAAAAGGCUACCGGAAUUCCGAAAUGCGCCUAAUGAAGUCUAGAUCAUCAGCGUCCAUGGGAUCCCACCAGUAGAAGUUCAGACAUUUUACGAAUGUUAUGCGCUCCGCAAGAGUUUGUAGAACAGAUGGUCGAGCAGGGUCGUCAGAACUUGCCAAGUGCACAAUCUUGAGAUUUGGAAAUGCGCAGCGCGGCAGAGAAGAUAGCAGCAGCUCACUGUUAGCGCACAAAUAUAGCUGCUCGACGGAUGGAAAAGAUGAGGGCAAUUCUUUCAGUUUUGGGCAGUCUAGUAGCCUCAACUCCGACAAACGAGGAAAAGAUCGUUGCGCUGCUGACGCUUCACACCACCCCUCUAACUUGGGCAUGUGUUCUAAUCUCAAGUUCUCCAAUACUGGGAAUGCAUCAUCACCUGCACCAUAGAACUCUGAGUCCAGGCUCGUGACUGCUAGGAGAGAAACGAGAUGCAGGACUUUAAGAGCAGGCAACUGCCCAAGCGACGGAAGAGACUUGACAACAGGAAGCUUCUCGAGAGAAAGUGUCUCUAGGUUAUGCAAUUGACUUGUUCUUGGGAGGGCCUUACAUCUGAAACAAAAAGAUAAGUGAAGCAAAACAAGAUUUGGAAGACUGGACUCCAACCAUUUCGGAAAAAUUUUGCCCGGGUAGCGAUAUAUCCCCAAUAGGGUCAAAUUUUCGUGCGGUUGGAGGCCGUUGAGGACUUCUUCGGCUACCCCAAGUGAAUUGAUAAGACCUUGCCUGGCUUUUCCUUCUACCUCAGUGCGCACGCAGGCUUCCAUUUGCUUCUUGUAAGUAUCCAAGUCCCAUGCUAAUGAUAGUGCAUUAAGGCCAUCCAUUUCUAUUAAGUUAGCCUCUCUAGCCUGCUGGAAAUUCUUCACAUUUUCUAGGCUAGUAAUCAAUAGGAUGCCUUCAAGAUUAAGUCUGUUGAGCUCCUUGAGGCCGCACUCUCUCUUUUCGUAGACAUCAAAGAGCAGUAGGUCCCGAAAGUAGCUUGGCUGUGUAAGUCCAGCAGGCAUGCACGUUAAUCUAUGGCAAUGACCUGUGCGAAGACAUGUGAGAUUUUUCGCGUUCUUCUUGUUCUCUGAGAGCUUGCGUAGAAAGAGACAGUGUCCUAGAUUAAUUGAUCGAAGAUCUGAGAGGCAACAUAUGCUUUCGGGAAACCUUUUUAUUCUGGUAUUUGCGAGGUUUAAGGUCUGCAAACUCUUUAAAUGACCAAUGGAAUUUGGUAGGAAGACAAAGCUUGUGCAAUAUUCAAGAUUCAGUGCAAGUAGAUUAGAGAGAUUGCCAAUGGAGUCUGGUAAUUCUUUUAAAAAUCGACAUCCUUGUAGGUCCAAAACUUGCAGAUUCUGCAAGAAACCAAUAGAUUGUGGCAGUAUUUCAAGGUUUGUGUAUGACAAAUUGAGAUACCUUAGGUGUCUAAGAUUACUAAUUGAAUUUGGCAAUUCUUUGAUAGGGUAGUAUUUAAGAUAAAGUGCUCUUAGAAGCUUCAUACUAGAGAAAACAGUUUGAAGAAUCUUUAGCAUCAUAUCUUCCUUUCCUAUCUGCACAAAAGGAUGUGAUUUGAGGAAGUAAAAGGUUCUCAACUUUUUGGCUUUAUUGACAAUCUCUAAAACCGAUGGUAUUAUCUCUAUUGUGUAGAUAAAAGAUGAAUAACGUGUCGAAGGAUAUAUGUCUCUUCUAUUGACAACUUUGCCGAUGCUUGAACAUUCUUCACCUGAAACAAAUUGAGCGAGAUCAUGAACAAGAUCAUGAAUCACGACGGCACCUAUCAUAUGCCUAGGUUCCUCGAAAAGUGAUCUCGAUAAUAGCUCUUCAAUAUAUUGGUAACCCACGUCUUCCAAUUCCAUACUCUCGUUGAGUGACCGAACAAAUCCUUCAGCAAUCCAAAGUUGGAUCAGGUCCUUAAUUAUUAUAAUAGUAUCCUUUGGAAAUAUGGAGCAAUAUGCAAAGCAUUGCUUCAGGUGCGACGGCAAAUGAUUAUAACUCAACCUUAGAGCUGGUAAAAUCUCAUUCUCUUCUAACUUCCAACUAUCAUUGUCCCGAACAGCCAACCACUCACUUUCCCUUCUCUUAGAGCGCAUCAAGCUACCUAAAACCUUCGCUGCCAGCGGGACACCACCACAUUUUUUCACAAUCUCCUUUCCAAUGGUAACUAAGUUUGCGGUCUUCUCACAAGCACCUAUCCCAAAUGCUCUUCUCUCAAACAACAACCAACAAUCAUCCUCAGAUAAAGUCUUCAAAAAGUGUGGCUCCACCGUGGCCAUUACUGAGGCAACUCUACUACUACGGGUGGUCACUAUAAUUUUACUUUCGGUCGCACCAAUAGUUAGCAAAGUCCUAAAUUUGUCCCACUUCUCAUAAUUUUCAUUCCACACAUCAUCCAGCACGAGCAAAAAUAUUUUUUUCUCAAGCUCCUGUUUUAGUUUAGACUGCAUCGACGCCAUGCUUGUGAGAUCACAAGCAUUUCCCGUUGUAUGCUCUAUUAUCGAUCUGACAAGCCUUUUAUGGUCAAAAUCAUCAGAAACACACACCCAUAUUCUCUUCUCAAAGUGAUCGCUUAUUUGUCGAUCAUUAUAGACUAAUUGCGCGAGUGUCGUCUUACCGAGCCCUCCCAUCCCAACAAUUGCUAUAAUCCCGAGAUCACCUCCAGGUGUGUCCACAAGAAAUUCGAUGAUCUUUUUCUUAUCUUCUUCCCUACCAUAAACUUCCGAUUCAAUUACGAAGGAGCUAGUUUCUUCUCUCACCACAUUCUCUUGCCUACAGCAUGUUACUACACAUCUCUCUUGCAAAUGAAACUUAGAUCUCUCCUCUGCAAGCUCAUCUAGUCUCUCCCUUAUUUCCCUUAUCUCCCUAGCUAUCUUUAACUGAAACAUAACUGAGUUAGGCAAUGAUAGCACUCUACUUACCGUUCCCUUCAUCCAGCUAGUAGUACUGCUUUCCGGAUCAGUUAAACUCCUCUUCCAGUUCUUGGCGAAGUCCUCGUCCAGCAGAUCGUCGAUAUCGUAGGCCACAUCUUUGAUGCGUCCCAGCCACCCUCUGAGAGCUCUCUCCUGCACUUGCCUCCCCUCCGCAUCCUCGAGCACGUCGCAGAUGGUGGAGAGGGUGCCCUCCAGCUUCUUCAGCUCGGCGCCGACGUCCAUUACUUGACCAAACUCGCCUGUGAUUCGUUCUCUCAGUCUGUCGACCAGCGAACUCAGGACACCGGAAGCUACUACGUCUGCCAUUUUUUUUUUUUUGAUGUAAUCAAUCAAUUGAUCGAUCAAAAACUGAAUGAAACUAAGAUGAAUAAGACUAAACGAAAAGAGGAGAGGAGACCAAUUUUCUACUUCAGAGUAACUAUGUAAAACUAGAAUGGUCAAAUUGAACGAAAUUAAGCUCGAAUAAGACAAAAGGAAAGCAGGAAUGGAGGCCAAUUUUGUUCUGUAAAAAAGACUUUACUUGUGGGGGUGAUUGGCCUGAGAAUAUAAAAAGUCAUUCAUGAAAGAAGGAAAAUGGAAGGCGGCGAAGCAUCAUCAUUCUCACAAGAAAAAUAAAAGGGUAGCCAAAGGGCAUUUUCAGUUUGACCAAACCAACCUGCGUACUCCUUCCGCAAUAUUUGAUUAGGACUUCCUCAAUAACUAUCGCCGCCGCCGCCGACGACAACGCCACCAUCCAACAAGGGGGGGGCGCCCGCCUGGAAGCAAAGACGAAGGCUAGGAGUAGAGCACCGUUUGUUUUGAGUACAUGCAAGUGUACCCCAAACUAGGCAUCCUAAGUGGCUUUUUAAAAUUAAUUUUCUGUUGAAUCACAUUUGGGAUCAUAAUUUGGCGAGCUUUGUUAGUUACAUGCAAUAUUAACUCUAUUCAGGAAACGCAUGUGACUCUUUUGUUACUGUUACUCCUUUUGUUACUAAUUUUAUUUAAAUAUUUUGCUUUUUUUUAAAAAAUAAUAAUAAUAAUAAUAAAUCCUCACUUUUAACAAAUUAUCAGGAGCAUAAACCCUCUAUGAUGGGGGUGCAUAUAACUAUAUUACUAUUUUGAUUAACCUUUCACAUGUCCCAUUAUAUCAAGGUGACCGCAUAUACCAAGUUUUUUAUCAAACUAGUAUAAUUAAAUUGUGAUUUUAUGCAACUAUGAUUAGUUUUUUUUUAUAGUUUUUUUUUACUCGUAAUCUAAUAUCUUAUUUGGCCCCCGAGUUGACACAGGUAAUGAUUGUCCAGCCUUUCAAAUUUUAUAAAAAAAAGAUUAAUUAAUAUCAAUUUUAAAGACAAUAGUAUCCGGUAAAUAAAAAAAAAAAACUGUAUAUCCCCUUAGUCUUAAAUUUUGGUUUUUGUUGCUUCAUAUUUUGAUCUCCCAACUAGGUUAAGUUUUCAAUUUGACUACUUUACUAAUUACCAUUUUCACCUAAUUAAUUGGAAGGGGGAUAUUCUAAUCAUGGCCAGCUUAAUCGGAGGUAGCCCGAAUAUAGCGAGAGGGCGUAAUUAACCGGGUACCUGCGGGUAUCCGGGAAGCAUGAACUUCUUAAUCUUUGGUUCUUUUAAGUCUAUUUAGACUAAUAAAUAGGAACAUUUUCUCUUUACUUAUUUAAAAUUUCUUUUUGUUUUUCCCUUGUUCAUUUUUCUGAAAAAACAAUUAUAAAUAAUAUUCCAAAGGAGAGGAAAUUUCAAAAAUAACCUUUACACUAACUUACCAUCAAUUUUAAAUAAACAACAAAUAAAAUUCCAACUUUACUCCUAUUGUUAUUACCAUCUUAAAAUAUUUAAUUAGCUAUAAAAUCAUAUAUAAUUUUGUAAACACCCUUUUAAAUUCAUAAAUAACCUACAUUUAGAGGCUGUUUGGUUGCACGUAUUUGCAACUGCACUGUAGUUAUAAAUACAUGCAACCUCAAUUCCUGUAUUUGGUUUAAUGCAGUUGAGUCCAACUGCUGCAGUUACAACUGCACAAAAAUGUUCAAAUGCUAUAGUUGGAACUACAUUCAAAUUAGCUGCAGUUCCAACUGCAGCAGUUGGUGAGGAAUAGAAUUACCCACAAAUUAACAAUAAUAAAUAAAUAAAUAAAUAAAUAAUAUAUAUAUGGAUAAAUAAAAAUAUUUGUAAAUAAACACAUACUAAUAAAAACUUUUAGGCGACAUAAUAAAAAUUUUUAGGCGACACAAGUUUCGUGCAAAAAAUUAAAUUUUAUUAUUAUUCGUCCAAAAAAUUAAACUCAUCCAGCUAGUAGUACUGCUUUCCGGAUCAGUUAAACUCCUCUUCCGGUUCUUGGCCAAGUCCUCGUCCAGCAGAUCGUCAAUAUCGUAGGCCACAUCUUUGAGGCGUCGCAGCCACCCUCUGAGAGCUCUCUCCUGCACUUGCCUCCCCUCCGCAUCCUCGAUCACGUCGCGGAUGGCGGAGAGGGUGCCCGCCAGCUUCUUCAACUCGGCGCCGACGUCCAUCAGCUGACCAAACUCGUUUGUGAUUCGGUCCCUCAGUCUGUCCAGCAGCGAGUUCAGGACGUCCGAAGCCACUACGUCUGCCAUUUUCUCUUUGAUGAUUCUUUUCUUUUCGUAUCAAUCAAUCAAUUAAAAAUUAUCUGUUUCAAUGUAAUAUAUAAAACUGCAAUAGUCAAAUUGAAUGAAAUUAAGAUGCAUAAAUAUCUGACGAAUGAACGAACGUUGCCGGUUGAAGAACAGGACUAAACGAAAGGAGCAGAGGACACGAAGUUUGUGCUGUGAAAAAGACUUUUGACUUGUGGAUCCUAGCAUGUCCGUGGGUGAUUGGCCUGAGAAUAUAAAAAGUCAUACAUAAAGAAGAAAAAUGGAAGGCGAAACUUUAUCAAUCUCACCAGAAAAAAAAAAAGAGGCCAAUGUCAUUCUCAUGUUGACCUUAUCUGCUUGCGUACUAUUUCUGCAAUAUUAUGAUUAGGUCUUUCUCUAAGACUGUGCGUGGUUCCACAACCAAAGUUUAAUAACUCUUGUCUUUUCAAAAAUAAGAAAUAUUCUGAUAUAAGUUAGAACAACAAUAAUUGUAUUUGGAUGUGCUCUGAUGAGGAUAAAAAUGUAUGCCGACUGCUCAACUAUAGAACAUUUUAGCAUUGACCCCUCAACUCCAAACCUUUUUUUCUUUUUUUCUUUUUUUUGAUUAAACAGGGAUAUACCCUAUUUACAGGAAAACCUUUUUUUCUUGGUUUGACUCUCUUUCGACUUCUAAUAUUUUUAUAAUUUUUUUAUUUCGUUAAAUUUAAAAUCUUUGUUAAAUUUAAUAGUUCAAUUAAUAUUGGCAAUUAAUUAAUUUAAUUUUAGUUGCUAUCAAAUGGUAAAAGUUAUUAAAUUUAAUAAAUUAUUAGUAAAGUUAAUAAACUUUUAAAUUUUUUGAUUAAAGUUACUUGAUUUGAAAAACCAAGAAAAAUUAAGUAUGGCCUAUAGUUGAGUACAUGUGAUCUCCCUACAUUCUUUGUUUUUCAAGAGCAGUUUAAUUAUUCUUAGUUACUGAAGGAAAAAAUUUAGAAUGGACCAGGUAUAAUAUUGCUGAUGAUAUGGCAUCCCCAUCCAGUCAGAUAGCUCCCUUUCGAUUCACCCGUCCCAUCUUGAUUAUUAGAAAAAUAUUUUUAUUAUGCUUUUCUCUUAAAAAGAGAGAUGUGAUUUGCUAAUUAUUGAUAAUAUAGUGCAAGUGUAACACAGUAAACUUUUUUUAUAACGGUAGAACCAACAAUAAUAGUCGCCCUAUCCAUUCAGAUUUCAAACACUCCGGCUUCUGCCACUCCUUUCGCAACUUUCAGCCCAUUUCGUGUAGUAGAAGAGCAAAAGCUCUCGCGCGCGUCGUGUGACCACCCUUCAGGUUGAAAUUUAGGUUGAAAUUUGGGCGGGAAUGUGGGAACAAAAUUUAUAGGAGAAAUGCUACCUAUAAACCCAAAAAGGAAUUUAUAUCACAUAUCCCAUUUAUCUAAUAGAUUAAAUUAUUUUAUAAAAUAAUUUCAUCCAUUAGAUUGGUGGGUGUAUAUCCUCCAAAAUAAAGUGUAUAAGUAGAAUUUACUAAUUUCUAAACACACAUUUAUAUCUAUACCAUGGUAAGGUUACUACGAAUACUCCGAAUCUAAAGGUGGUUAACCAAUAUUAAACUGGUAUGAUUUCAUUUAUGGAUAUAAAAAAUAAAAUUUGACUAAUUUGGAUUGAGGUAUGAUUUUUAUCUGCGCCCUACCCGAUUCCAAACACAAACCAAUUUUAUAAUAUAUAAUAUAAAAAAAUUUAAAUUUAUGCUUUGAAAAUUUCAAAUGAUAUGUUUUGAAAUUUGAUAAGAGAAAUAGUCGCUUUCGGGUUUGGACUUUCAUGUUUGGUUUCGGAUUUUGAUUUUUUGUCGGGUUUCGGUUUUGGUUAUAGAUUUUUAAAAUUCGACUGUUUCAGAUUUGUCUCCAGAUUUCGAUUUUAGCUGUCCAGUUCGGAUUUGAAUUUUGGAAAACCAGUCCCAAGUCCGACCAAUUGGCAUCCCUAAUACCACGACCCCUGCCCCUUUGUUUGGUAGUUAGAUAAAAGAGAUUUAUUAAUUCAAAACUUAAAAUAUAUAUAUAAAUAAUUAAAAUAAAAAGAGAUCUUCUAUAUAAUUUUCCAAUACUAUAGUGCAUUAAAUAAUUUUAUUCAAUUUAUAUAAUUCUAUUGCCCUUUUUAUAAGCAAUUUAUUCUGCAAACUUGUUUUUGUAAAGUUUCACAGCUGAAUUUACAGCUAAAUUCAACAGUAAUCCUAAAAGUAGGAUCCAUUAAAGACAAUUAUAACAAAGCGCAGGGGACAUUAAUAAUAUAAUAUUUGAUGCGGAGGGUUAACGAGACACGAUGUAAAAUGCAAUGGGCCUUUUUGCUAUUUGACCAAUUAUUUUAGUGUGAAUUAAAUGACGGGUUUUAUUUUUCAAUUUCUAAGAAAAUUUUUAGUUAAAAGUUUGUUUGGGUGGGAGUGAGGUGGAAGUGGAAAGGGAGAAAUCGUUUUCGUCAUGAAAGAUCAUUUUCAUUGUUUGGUUCGUCGUAAAAUAUUUACGGUCGAAACUCGAGUUAAUCUGAAAUUGUGUAAUUGACUUCGGCCCAUCGCAAGCCGAAAUCAAUUACUAUGAAAUAAGAUGAAAAAAAUAUAAUAAAAUAAUAUACUAGGUAAAAAUCGUUACAUUUAAAUAUAUUUAAUUAUGGUACUAAUUACUCUAUUAUUCAGUUGGCAUAUUUAAAAUAUUAUAAAAUUUGAUUAGUUAAGUUUUAAUAUUUUCGUUAUUUAGUUUGUAAAAUUAAAAUAAAUAAAAAUUUAUUAAUUAAGUAUUAAUAUUUAUUUUACUUUAAUUUUAUUGUAGUAUUACUAUAAUUUAUGUAUAAAAAAAUAAUUUAAUUAUUUUAAAUUAAAUUUUAAUUAUAUAAAAAUAUAAUUAUAUUAUUUUUAUUUAUUUAAGUCAACAAUAAAGAAAGAAAAUGGAGGCCGAAACUUUUAUUCAAUGCUCACAAAAAAAAAGUUACAAAAAUUCUCAUAGUUGCCUUAUCUGUCUUGCUACUAUUUCUGCAACUAUUUCUUGAUAGGAAUCCUCGAGCACGUCGCGGAUGGCGGAGAGGGUGCCCGCCAGCUUCUUCAGCUCGGCGCCGACGUCCAUUAGCUGACCAAACUCGUUUGUGAUUCGGUCCCUCAGUCUGUCCAGCAGUGAGUUCAGGACGUCCGAAGCCACUACCUCUGCCAUUUUUUUUUUGAUGUUUCUAUUCUUUUCGUAUCAAUCGAUCGAUUAAAAUUUAUCUGUUUCAUCGUAAUAUAUAAAACUACAAUAGUCAAAUUGAAUGAAAUUAAGAUGAAUAAAUAUCUGACGAAUGAACGAACGUCCCCGGUAGAAGAACAGGACUAAACGAAAGGAGCAGAGGAGACCAAUCUUGUGCUGUGAAAAAGACUUUGACUUGUGGAUCCUAGCAUGUCCGUGGGUGAUUGGCCUGCGAAUAUAAAAAGUCAAACAUAAAGAAGAAAAAUGCAAGGCGAAACAUCAUCACUCUCACACGAAAAAUAAAAGGGAGGGCAAAGGUCAUUCUCAGGUUGACCAAAUCAACCUGCUUCUUUAAUACUAUAUUUGGCUCGAAAACUAAAUUUUAGAAAAUAAUAAGAAAUAUUUUCUCACUAUCCUUCAAAAUAAGUCUAAUAACAUAAAUAUUCCUAUAAAAAUUGUAAUAUCAUAAAUAACCUCCAAAAGAGACGAACUUUCAAAAAUAAUCUUCACACUAACUUACCGUCAAUUUUGAGUACACGGUAAAUAAAAUUCCAACUUUACCAAUUUUACAAUAUAUAAUAUAUAAAAAUUUAAAUUUGUGCUUUUAAAAUUUCAAAUGAUAUGUUUUGAAAUUUGAUAAAGAGAAAUAGCCGCUUUCGGGUUCGGAUUUUCAUGUUUGGUUUCAGAUUUUGUUUUUUUGUUGGGUUUCGCUUUUGGUUAUAGAUUUUUAAAAUUUGACAGCUUUAGAUUUGACUCCAGGUUCUAAUUUUGGCUGUCGAGUUCGGAUUUGAAUUUUGUAAAACCAGUCCCGAGUCCGACCAUUGGCAUCCCUAAUACCACCAGGUCCCCCACCCCUGCCCGUUGUUUGGUACUUAGAUAAAAGAGAUUUAUUAAUUCAAAACUUAAAAAAAUAUAUUAAUAAUUUAAAUAAAAGAGAUCUUCUAUAUAUUUUUUUUGAAUACUAUCAAAAUUAAUAGUGCGUGCAUUGACUAAUUUUAUUCAAUUUAUAUAAUUCUAUUGCCUUUUUUAUAAGCAAUUUAUUCUGCAAACUUAUUUUUUAAAAGUUUUACAGCCGAAUUUUCAGCUAAAUUCAAUAAUAAUUCUAAUAGUAGGAUCCAUUAAAGAUAAUUAUGAUAAGGUGCAGCCGACAAUUAAUAUAAUUUUUGAUGCAGAGGGUAAAUGAGACACCACGUAAAAUGCAAUGGGUCUUUUUGUUAUUUAGCUAAUCCAUAUAGUUUUGUAUUUUCUCACUUUAAUAUCUUGUGGUUUAAACUGUAUCAUUUUAGUAUCUUGUGGUUUCAUUUUUCUUCUUUCAUUAUCUCCUCCGUUAAUUUUUUCAUUAAAUCAACGAGAAAUUUAAAACUAUAGGGUACUAAAAUAAAAUUUCGUAAACCACAAGAUACUAAAGUGAAUAUUCGAUAAAUAAUAGGGGGUAUCUGAAGUUUUUUUUCUACAUAUUUUCACGGGGAGUUAAUGAAAAGGAUAAGGGAAAUAGGAAAGAAAAACCAUAGGGUACUAAAAUGAUAUACUUUAUGCCACAGGGUAUAUAUUUUAACGGAGAGUUAAUAGAGGGUAUAACGGAAAGAAAAAAACGAAACCACAUGAUACUAAAGCGGGGGUUUUUAGUGCAAUAGUUCUCUUCUAAAAUUUUAUUUUAAAAAUAAAUCUAUUAAAUUUUUAUUUAUAGAUAUAGUUCUAUAAAAGCGGUAAAUGAUUCACCGAUUUUAAAAGCGGUGAACUAUUCACCGCUUUCUUUCUUUCUCUCACUUCUUUUUAUAAUUUUAUGAUGGUAAAAGCGGUGAAUGGUUCACCGCUUUUUCUGUUUUUCUACUCUUAAAUAAAAGUUAUGAAUGCGGUGAAUGAUUCACCACAUUUAAAGGUUUAUUUUUAUAAUUAUUUUUUUAAGAAAACUAUUUUUAUAAUUAUAAAAAUUGAUAAGAUUAGUUAUAAAAAAAAAUUCUACUAAAAUGAUACACUUUUAAUCACAGUGUACUAAAGUGAGAAAAUGCUAAACCACAUGGGGAUAUUUGAAAUUUUUUUUAUUAUUUUAGUCUGAAUUAAGCUCACUGGGAAGUUUGGAUAAAGAGUAUAAUUAAAUGCCUACACCGACGUACUGUUCAUUUCUCAGAAAUUAGAAAUCAUCUUGUAUAUAGAAUACAUCAUCCUAAAAAAUAAUGAUAACUAUUAGCAUUUUGAAAGAAUCAAAAUCUAAAACUAUAUUUUCUUUCAACGAAACAACUGUAAUAGAAAACUAUAUUUUUUUUCGUACAAACCAAACACAACAUAAAACUUACUUCACUACAAUAAAACUAAGCUAUAGCGACACUUUUUAGUGUUCCUAAAAUCUAAAAAAAGUGUUGCUGGCAAAAAAACCGACACUAAAAAUAGUGUCGCUAUAUGUGCAGUCCCUAGGGUAUAUAGCAACACAUAAUAAAGUGUCGGUAUAUCCCAAAUAAGUGCUGCAGUUUAGUGACACUUUUUUUUGCUUUUAGUGACACACAUAAGUGUCCCUAAUUUUUUUUUAAAAAGUAUUAUUUUUUUUAUAUAGUGACACUUUAUAAGUGUCCCAUUGUCAUUCAAUAUAUAAUAUUUUAUUUAAACAUCUAUUCUAGUAUUAAACUUUAGUUAAACUAAUCUCAUGUACAUUAAAUCGAUGAGACUAAAAAAAAAGAAUCAACAAAGUUCCUUAAAUUCUCGUUAAAAUGAUAAAACUAAAAUCAAAUAUCUAUACGUUACAACAAUAAUAUACACUCAUAUGUUGUAGUACUUAUAACAAAUUAAACUCUCUAACUAAAAAAAAUAUAAAAAAUCAAAAAUUGUUUGAUAACAAAAAUUAAAAAGUGCAUAAACGAAUUUUGAUCGGCCCCACGACUAUAUACUUGAACCUGCACAUUGAAAAACAUUUGAAUUAAUUCAAAUUUUUGCAAUAUCCUUGAUUUGCCAAAGCAUUAAAAAAAAAAAGAGACUUGUUGAAAUUCUGUCACAUGCAUCUAUUAACAAAGUGUACACAAUUGUUGCAGAACUUGAACUAUAACGGAGCUUCGAAAUAGACUUGUCAUUGUUUGUCGGCACCCCCCCAAUAUUUUUUCUUUCCCUUUUGAUUUGUGUUAUUUCUACUAAAUUGGUUGGGGGUUAAGUUAAACAUAACUAUCAGUUAACUACCUAAUACUAAUUGUCAACAAAUCCCACAAUUUUGACAAACAGAACUUGUAAAGCCACUCAAAUUAAUCAAAUCACCAUUAAACCUAACAAACUUGCCACAAUUCAACACGCAAAGGAAACAAAUUAAUCAAAACAAAUGAAAGUUGCGGAGGAUGUGCGUACAUUCAGGAUAAUUACGGAUAUAUAUUGGGGGGUGGCACAUUUCUAUAGAUUUGUUGGAUAAUAUUUAUGUAAUAUUCUAGAAUAACCUAGUUUGACCAGAAUAAUUAUAAGUUCUGACGAACGUCUUACAUAUUCUUUAGCUAUAAGAGGAUAAAUCCAAUUAUCCCUCAUUUGUCCCACCCAAACAAAUUUACAUCAUAAUCAAAUUAGUAUUUUAAGAAAAAAAGGCACAGAUCAAACUAACGAUAGCAACUCAAUGAAGUGAUUGUUCCAAUAGAACAUAUCAACCUAUGUUAUCAUGGUGUUGGAGGAAUAGAUCAAACUAAUUGCAAACAAAAUCUAGAGAAAAGAAAUUACUUUUUCCCUACCUCAGUUAAUGCUGAAUGGAUACUUUCCCUCUAGGCAUCUAAGUGGCCACUUAAUGCUGAAUGGAUAUUUGGGCUUUGAUUAUUUUUUUUAAAAAAAAUUGAAUAUAUAUGGGACACUUGUACAAAAGUGUUUUUAAAAUGUGUCGCUAUAACCUAGUUUUGUUAUAGUGCUUUUCUUCAAAAAAUUUUUCUAUUCAAAUUUUUGUUUCAUAGUUUUACGUGAAAUCAAACUGCCUCCUACCUGAAUUUAAUGGUUUUAUUUGCCAAUGAAGAAAAUUACGAUUCAAGCGAAACAGGAAGAGUUUUUUUUUUUUUUUCAAGUUGGCCGCACAUUUCAUAUAAUCGGAUAUAAUUUAUUAAUAUAAUACUAUAGAUAACAAGCAAUGAUUGGAUUGGUAUUAGAAAAGUACCCACUAAAACAAAUUUACUAAAUACAAAGUCAUAAAACACAAACUUGCAGAAGAGUAAACAAUAUGACCAGCAAACAUCAACACAUUUUCUUAAUUUUGGCCAUUGUAUUGAUUGCCAAUUUUUUUUUUUUCUUCCACUUGAGACGAAUGUAAUUAGUAGUGCAAUAUUCCAAAACAAAAGGCUAUGGGAGUUCCGCAGCGUAUCUGAUGAAGUCUAGAUCAUCAUCGUCCAUGGGAUCCGACCAGUAGAAGUCUAGACAUUUUACGUAUGUUAAGCGCUCCGCGAGAAUUCGUGGAACAGAUGGUCAAGCAGAGUCAUAGGAAUUUGCCAAGUGCACAAUCUUGAGAUUCGGAAAUGCGCCGUGUGGGAGAGAAGAUAGCAGCAGCUCACUAUUAGCGCACAAAUAAAGCUGCUCGACUGACGGAAAAGGCGAGGGCAGUUCUUUCAGUUUUGGGCAGUCUAGUAGCCACAACUCGGACAGACGAGGAAAAGAUUGUUGCGCAGCUGAUGCUUCACACCACUCCUCCAACUCUGGCAUGUGUUCUAGUUUCAAUCUCUCCAAUACUGGGAAUGCACCAUCACCUGUACCGUAGAACUCUGAGCCCAGGCUCUUGACUGCUAGGAGAGCAACGAGAUGCAGGACUUUAAGAGCAGGCAACUGGCCGAGCGGCAGAAGAGACUUGACGGCAGGAAGCUUCUCUAGAUAAAGGAUCUCAAGGUUAUGCAAUUGACUUGUUCUUGGGAGGGUCUCACAUCUGAAACAAGAAGAUAAGUAAAGCUCAACAAGAUUUGGAAGACUGGACUCCAACCAUUUUGGAAAAUUUUUGCCCGGGUAGCGACAUAUCUUAAGUAGGGUCAAAUUUUCAUGCGGUCGGAGGCCGUCGAGGACUUGUUCGGCUACCGCAAGUGCAUUGAUCAGACCUUGUCUGCUUCUUCCUUCUACGUCAGUGCGCACGCAAGCUUCCAUCUGCUUCUUGUAAGUAUCCAGGUCCCAUGCCAACCCUAGUGAGUGAAGACCAUCCAUUUCUAUUAAGUUAGCCUCUCUAGCCUGCUGAAAAUUCUUCACAUUUUCUAGGCUAGUAAUGCCUAGGACGCCUUCAAGGUUAAGUCUGUUGAGCUCCUUGAGGCCACAUUCGCUCUUUUCGCAAAGGUCAAAGAGCAGUAGUUCUCGAAAAUAGCUUCCCUGUGCAAGUCUAGCUGGCAUGCGCGUUAAUUUAUGGCAAUGACUCGUGCAAAGACAUGUGAGGCUUUCCGUGUUUUUCUUGUUCUCCGGGAGCUCGCGUAGAAAGUAACAAUGUCUUAGAUUAAUUGAUCGAAGAUCUGAGAGGCAACAUAUGCUUUCGGGCAACUUUUUUAUUCUGGUAGAUGUGAGGUUUAAGGUUUGCAAACUCUUUAAAAGACCAACGGAAUUUGGUAGGGAGACAAAGCUUGUGCAACAUUCAAGAUUCAGUGUUAGUAGAUUGGAGAGAUUACCAAUGGAGUCUGGUAAUUCUUUUAAAAAUCGACAUCCUUGCAAGUCCAAAACUUGCAGAUUCUGCAAGAAACCAAUAGAUUGUGGCAGUGUUUCAAGGUUUGUGUAUGACAAAUUGAGAUACCUUAGGUGUCUAAGAUUACUAAUUGAAUUUGGCAAUUCUUUGAUUGGGUAGUAUUUAAGAUAAAGUGCUCUUAGAAGCUUCAUACUAGAGAAAACAGUUUGAAGAAUCUUCAGCAUCAUAUCUUCCUUUCCUAUCUGCAUAAAAGGAUGUGAUUUGAGGAAGUAAAAGGUUCUCAACUUUUUGGCUUUAUUGAGAAUCUCUAAAACCGAUGGUAUUAUCUCUAUUGUGCAUAUAAAUGAUGAAUAACGUGUCGAAGGAUAUAUAUCUCUUCUGUUGACAGCUUUGGCGAUGCUUGAACAUUCUUCACCUGAAACAAAUUGAGCAAGAUCAUGAACAAGGUCAUGUAUCACAACGGCACCUAUCAUAUGCGUAGGUUCCUCAAAAAGUGAUCUCGAUAAUAGCUCUUCGAUAUAUUGGUAACCCACAUCUUCCAAUUCCACGCUCUCGGUGAGUGACCGAACAAAUCCUUCAGCAAUCCAAAGUUGGAUCAGGUCCUUAGCUAUUAUAAUGGUAUCCUUUGGAAAUAUGGAGCAAUAUGCAAAACAUUGUUUCAAG